UUCUUUUUUUUUUUUUUUUUUUGCCUGGAAUUCGUAUGUUUUGACGCCAUCAUCGCCGACCUUCAGUCCCAGCUUCAGUCCCUCGAUGCCUCCCUUUCCAACGCUUCCGACAAACUCACCCUUGCUGACCAAGAAAAGAUCCGAUUCUUAUAACCAACCCGACCAAGUGAGCACUAAUAAAAAAAAAAGGAAAGCCUGCCAGUCUAUAUUUUUACAAUGAAAGAGAAAUCCAUGACCCGUAUCAGUUUUCCUAUGCCUCGCUCUCCCUUUUUUUCUUUUUUUGUCAAUUUAAUCUAUAUCUCAAGAAAGACAUGGAAAAUUAAGUUCAUGCUUCUGAAUAUCAUUGAUAAGCUCUCUGUGUUCGUAGAAAAUUCAGCCCAACUCUUUGUGCCCGUUUGUCUAACCUCCUUUCCUUGCUUAAGCAGGUCACUCAUCAUGAAUAUGAAGUCGAAACAGCAAAUGGAAGAACAAUUACAAAAAAAGGAAAACCAAAAGUACUGUAAUGUUUGCGGUAUGUAAUUUUGAUUUCUGAUCAGUAUGCAUUGUCGUAGGGGAACGAUUCUUUAUGUGUAUAUUUCUUGGUUAUGUGUAAUUGUCUCUAUUACUACAGGACCCAGGCAGACAUAAAAAACUAGAGACACCAAAAGCUGUUACACCUAGAGCUGUUACUAAGGUAAUUAAACAAUGAACUAGGAUAAAUUUUCCUUCUCAGUGUCAUCAUGCUGGUUGUUUUAGCUUUUGAUCUUUUGUGGAGUGUCAGUCAUGUCUCACCCAACAAGAAGUAGGAUUUUUGCCUAUUUUUGAUGAAUGGGGUGUACUAGACAGGCAAUAAUCGUGGUCACAAAAUUCUCUUACCUUGAAAUGGUGUUACUCUUAUUCAUAUCAUUUAGGAUUAAGUUGUGAUUACUAAUAGAUUAAUGCAAUGAAACAGAGCAAUUGGUUAACCUGAGCAAGGUAAAGUAGAAACAAGGAGAAUUAACUGUAUGUGAUGAAGUUUGUCUCUGUACACUGCAAGAUGCCUUGUGAUUACGGUCACAUAUAAUUUUAUGUUAUGUGUGCUGACAUUUGUGAUUGAAAUUUCAUGAUAGGGAACAAAGGGACAAGUUCAUACAAAUUCAUCUAAUAUAGGUGAUCUGUUUUCAGAAGGAUCUCUGAAUCCUUAUGCAGAUGAUCCCUAUGCAUUUGAUUAGAGGUAUCCCCGUUUCAUGUUAGUUCUAUUUGAAUUGCAGUACUUUAAUUAAUGUGCAGUUGACCUUUCCUGUAUUGGGUUAAUAGUUCAUGUACUCGGGUGCAAGAUUUACUCCAUAAACUAGACAAUUAUUUUUAUUUUUUUUGCUACUGGAAAUGGAAUGGGACAGCUUUUGAUUGUUAAACAUUUUCCUUUUUAUUAAGUAUGAAGUGUUUGGGUCGACUGUGAAGAAGCCAGUGCAAAAAAAAAAAAAGGAUUUGUCUACAAAAAAGGUUGCUUCUACCCACUGAUUAUUCUAUAAGAUUUAUUGCAUGCAUUGUUUUCUAUGUCCUGAGCUACAUUAGACGAGGAAACUUUUUUAAACGUUUAGCUUGUUCAAUAUUGAUCAGGUAUAAUGCUAUGAGAUCAUUUUGGUAAAUCUGCAGUCUGGCAUGAAUACUAAAUGUUCAGUUGUUCUUGAUACUGCUAAGGAGCUGUUUCUCUUAGUUAAGUUGUUUGUAGUAUCAAAUCACUGCUGCAUCUGGAUUUUGGCAGGAACUGUAUCAUGCAAUAGAAGGCUUUGCAAAUGGAGGAUGAAACUUUUUAAUUCUAGACAUUUUAGCACACAAAAAAUGUACAUUGCAACUGUAAUAAUGUUCCUUCAUUGAUAAACAAGAAUUAAAUGUUUGCAUGUGUCUGAAAUGCGAAAUUGCCUGUUUUCGUGGCUCCAAAACUCUUAUCUGGAAGUUUGAUUGCUAUAAUAACACAGAGCUCUUGUUAAAGAUGUAUGGCCAAUAUUGCAUUCCCCUCUGCAUCUUGAUUUUUUGUGAAAAGAAAUUAUGUUGAUUUUUCAUGUCACUUUUGUUUGUGCCUCCAAUCUUUUACCCCAACGGUAUCGUGCCACGUGAGAAAACUAAAAUCAAUUGAGGGUGUCUUGUCAACAUAUAAGACUAUUUGUAUACCUUGGUUGAGGUCAGGGAAUGUAUGAUUUCCCUAGGUGCAUCGUGGAUUUGUUAUUAGUUAUUAGUUUUUAAAAACUCUAUGUAUUCCUUGGUUUCCUUUUUUUUGGUGGUUAAUGUUAUUUUUGUUAUAGAGCAUGGAUCUGGCUCACUUUUCAUGAUGAUACUGGGUGUGUAAAUGUUAUUGCAUUAGGUGUCGAAGCUGAGAAGCUGAUUGGUGUUAGCGCGCUUGACAUGUUUGAGGCUGCUGACGAUGAGGUUAUGUGUUGCUCUAUUCUCAUGCAUAGAUACCUGAACUUGGAGAUUGUUCAACUAUGUAGCCAGGUCAUUUGGAUUUGUCAUUAAUGAACUUUCUUUUAUGCAAUUUAAAUGGUCUGAUUUGUGUACAUGGAUUCUUGAAUUGCCACUUUAUUUCGAUUCAACCUUUUUGCAGACCUUUAAGUUGUACCAUCGUGUGGCUUGUCGAAUUGAACUGACCAGGCUCCUAUGCUAUUUCAAGCGUUCAUCCGAUGUGAUCAACAAAGUGACAUGCACUAAAUACGCUGUUGUUGCUUGCUACCCAGUUUAGAGAGGUUGUUUUUGGAUGCUUAUUUCUUGUGCUAUCUUGUCAGCUCGUGAACUUCUUUGAGCUUGUAGUGGCGUCGGUAUUAGUUUUGAGGCUUAUAUGCUAUUGAUACUAAUAGCAUUUAGUGGUUCUGUUCUUUUUAAAAAAUUUUCUUUGGGAUGCUUUGUUAUGCUGCCAGCUCAGAGCCUUUCUUCUUGGGCUGAGUUCUUAGGCAGCAGUAGUAUUUGGAAUAGUGAUAUGUAGACUAUAGACCACAUGUUUGUUACUUAGACGAUUCAUUCACUGGACAAUUACUAAACUUUGUUUUGUUUCUGCGUUUCUAAAGCCUAGAUCUUUGUAUAGAUAGUUCUUUAGCCUUUGGAGUUUUAAGCAACAAACAUUCCUUCUGUCCUAGCUGUUACUUUUGUUAUUCCAACUUAUUACAUCUAAUAAAGUCAAUGUCCUUUUUAUUUUCUAAAUUAUAUACCUGCUACAUAUGUUUUAUGGGCAUCCAUAAUAAAUUAUCACCGCGCAGGGCGCGGUUCAUGCCUCCUAGUCUCUAUAAUGCGGCUCCGUUUGGAUUGCAUUUUUCAUGGAAAAAAUUACGAUAGCGAUUUGAUAUAUAUGAAGAAUAAAAGUAAUAAAAAAAUAUGAUCACAGAAAAUGACGUAAUUUUUCAACAGAAAAUGACAAUCCAAACGAGGUCCGUUUGUUUGGAUUGCUAUUAUCUACCGAAAACAGUGCUAAUUCUUAUGUGGGUGACAUGGGUAUUAAAUUCUUCUUUGUUUUUAAAUUGUUUUCCCUUUCAUUAAGCCAAAAAAAGGAAUUACAAAGAAGAAGAAGAAGUAACUACUACUGAUUAAGGCAUGAUAGGAAGAUGAUUAUUACGAAUUUAAAACAAUUUUUUUUAAAAAAAAAAAAAAAAAAAAAGAGGUGCCAUGAAAUAAUCCGAUGUGUUUUGAAGUAAUUUGGGCCUAAAUUGUGGCCCAAACAUUGAAGCCAGAUUGUACAUAGGUUCUGAUUAAGUGGGCCAAAAUUCUUGGCCCAACAAUAUUCCACGAUGCUGAUGCUUUAAAUCUUGUCAAUCUUUCUAAUCAGGUAAGAUGGAAUGAGCUAAUUCUAUGCAUGAGACACAGCCAGUUAUUCUGCUACCUGUGAUUCUGAAAAAAAAUGCCAGUAACAGUUAGUUACAAAAAACCAUAAACUCAGUUCCUAAUGUUGCACCACCAUUUCAGCAAUUUCCAUGUUACAAUCUUAAAAUUAAUAAAAGAAAAUACUAGAAAAAUUGCUCCAUACCCCUGUCACAACAUUUCUAAGCUUUACAAGGCUGCUGGAAAUGACCAAAACAGAAAAAUACCAGGUUUUCCCCUUCAUAUAGGAAAAGAGAAACCCCUUCAGAAAAAUUCUGCUGGCUUAUCAUCGGUAGCUUCCUCGCUAACACCAUUGAGUACUUCCAAAUCAUCAAAACCUGUGGUAGGUUUGUCACAACGUUAACAAUGCACAAAAGAAGAACCUCUUUCACCAGAAAUUUUUGUAAAGGAUAUUCAUCAUUACCUACACCUAAGGCUUCAAAAUCAUCAGCACGCGAUCCCAAGAGCAUUAUGUUGCCCAUAGGUGGGGAAAUGGUGCUCCAAUCGGAUAUGUUUUGGUCGUCUGAAUAAGCCUCCUCCUUCAUAAGCCAAUCCUCAGCCACUCUAGAGUUAGCAUGCAAAAGGGGGUCCACUGGCUCCUGCUCUUUAAUCUUCUGAGCCCUAUAAGAAUACAUUUAGAGAGCAAGAUUUAUCUGGCCUCCAUCCACAUCUAAACUACAAAACUUUUUGACACUGAUACUUAAAAUCUGAUUACCUUUCCUUCAGCCACCAAUUGUACUGAACCAAGACAAGAUCAUUGAGCCUCUGAUACUCCAAGCAAUUUUUCGUUUCGUGCAUCUGUUCAAGAGGUAUGUGACUUGGCUUAGAGCCUAUCAAGCUGCAAGUUUGACCAAGGAUCCUGAUAGCAAAGCGAGCUAAAUUUGGGCAUGCCCCGCCAUAUGUUGACCACCACUCAGCUAUGGAGAGAGAGAGAGAGAGAGAGAGAGAGAGAGCAAACAGAAUGAGGCUUCUUUCACAAAUCCAAUAGCAGGGUACUGAACAAGAUAACUAAUAAUAUUCUGAAGUAUAGAAAAUGGAUAUUAUGCUGCUAUUCUUGAGCUCAUUUUCUGUGUAUAGGAUAGGUGCCAUCUUCUCAAAAUCUCUUAAUUAUCCAUCUUUAUGGAAAACUGUUUCAGCAUCUUAUUUGUCAAAGCAAGAGUGUUGCAUCGAAAUUUUGAGAUUAUGGCACAAGGCGAAAUGAUAGAACCCAUACCAAAAAAACAUGGAAAAACAUAUAACAGAAAACAAAACCAAUGUAUUCUUUAGUAAAAUCUAACCUGGAAGUAAUGUAUCUCUAGCUCUUAUUGCCAUCUUCCUGCCAAAAUCUCCAUCACCAUUCUGAUACGAGAUUGUCUCUUUCACAAUUUUGUCCUGAGUAUUAGGGUCAGGCACCAAUUUCUCCACACAAUCAUAUACAUGGGAUCUGAUAUGAUGCAUAUCUCCUCCAGUACUAUAGAAGAACUUUGGAUUAAGAUAGAAACCAGCAGCAAAAAGUGGGUGAUGCUGAAGUUUUUCCCACCUUCGGUGUAUAAUGUUCCAGUAGUCAUGGUAAUCCUUCUGGUUAACAAGUUCUUUCUUGAUUGUUUCUUUGGCUCUAUAAAUUCCUGCAUAAACGUAACCCAUUCCGGGCCUCUUCUCACUACUAACUAUCCUCAAAAGUCGCAAGAAUGGAUCAGCUAAACGGGAAAUCAAGGCACAAGUAGACCAAAAUGAUUCGCUACUGAAACAAUCUAGGACAGCCAAUCCCUCAGGUUCCCUUGAGUAAGGGCUCUCUGCCCAUUCCUCUGAACUAACCAUGUUUUGCAAAUUCUGCUUGAGACUCACUAAUCGGUUCAAUGUCAUGAAAUCUGUUGCUGAUUUCGAAACUCCUAUGUCAACUAAGUCAACACCAAAAGUGUGCCGUCUCAUCAUAUUCAAAAUAACAUUGUGAUUGUAGAUAAAUCUUGUUAUUGAUUUGGCUUGUUCAAGGAUUGCACUGAUCAAGUCAAGCUUUGUAAAAUCCUUAAGCAUCAAACUUAGGCAAUGACCAGCACAAGGAGUCCAGAAAAUGGAAGGGUAAGCAUCAAUCAAUCUCUUCCCACAAACAAAAUAUGGCUCUUCACCACGAGUAACAACUUGCAAUACAUUUCUCACACCGACUUCUUCUAUCACCUUAGCAAGCAAUUCGUAGAGAGCAUCUACAGGAUUUCUAAUUUCAGAAAUAUCCAGAGACUUCAAAAACAAAUUUCCUUCUGGACAAUCAACUAAAACUUUUACCAACGUUCUGCCAUUCUGUGUGACCCAAUCAUCAACCAAAAUGGAACAACCACUCCUAGCCCAACAACCUGUGAAUCUGCCAAAGUCACUUUUAACCUCUUUGACCGAAUUUUUCAAAAUCCAGCUACGAAGAUCAUUGCAAGAAGGGGUUACAACCUGUGAUCCUUGCGAAGCUAUGGCCUCAAUCAUCCUUCUAAAAUAAACCGAAUUUGUAGCAUCAAAAGAUAUCCCUGCAUACAACAGAAAGUGGCCAAUUGCCAUUUGAACCUGAUUAUCCACCACUUUUGAGCCAACAGCUUUAUUACCAUCUGCAGUCAAUGUAUGAGACUUAUGAGGAUUUAUCAGAACAGAGGCCUUUCCCAUUUGGCCUUUCUCUAUCCUACCACCUGAUCCGUUGCCCUCAUGUUCUUGGUUCAGAAACACAUCAGAAUUCUCUUCAAGUGCAUCAGUUUCAGGAAGCAAAUCAAUUUCAUUAUUUAAAUCACGCCCAUUAGCAAGGGUUUGGACAGCACCAUUACCAGCAUUAUGAUUGGGCAUCUCAAUGAAAUGCUUUUGUUUCUUCUUUUUCUUCCCCACUGACCCACUUACAUUUAAGCUCUCUUGCAUAAGAAGGCGAACAUCAGAUUGUACUUCUGAGCAAACAGAUCCAUUGCCCGUACGACCAGCAAGAUGUUCCUUAAGUCUAUAAAUCCCACCACCAUUAAAUAUUUUUCCACAAUAUACACACUUGAGCAGAACCUUCCCCCCGUUAUUAAACAUUUGACAAUGCUUCCAAGCUGGAUCCCGCUUUAGAGAACCAAUGGCUACAGGUUCCAUAUUAGCUGAAUUCUCUUGCAGGUUUCUUCUCCUCCGUCUAGUCAUUCCCCCUACACUCUGUUCACCAUUAAAUUCAUUACUUGCUCCUUCAAUAUUCAGACGCUUAUCGGAGUUUGUUUCAAUGGUCUCUGUUAGCCGAAGCAAGUCAUCAACUGUAUUCAAAUCAUAAUUAUUUCGAAAACCCUCAUCCUCGAUGGUAAUGUCAUUUUGAAUCAACAACUCAUCCUCGGCAUCAACAAACCUUUGUUUCUUCUUCCUUUUCCCCACAACCCCACUCAAAUUCUCUUGCAUUGCACGGCGAACAUCAGGGUCAACUCUCAUACAAGGAGAGCCCCCAUCCCCCUUAGCACCUGCAAGAUGCUCCUUAACCCUGUGAAUCCCACCACCCUUAAAGAUUUUCCCACAGAACACACACUUGAGCUCAACCUUCUCACCAUUCUUAUACAUUUCACAGUAAUUCCAUGCAGGAUCACGUUUUUGCUUUGUCCUACGUUCUGAACUGUUAUUCACCUCCAUUCUUGAUUAUUCAAGUAUGCUUCCUCAAGAUUGCACUAUCUAGGCAGUGACAAAAUCCAUCACAGAAAUCAUAAAAAUCAAAACUUUCCUACUUUCAAUAAUCAACUUCAUACAUAAUCAACAAUCCCAGUAAGCAUGAUUGAAUGUUCAGAUAUGUCCCUCAAAGUUUAGCUAUCUGGGCUGUGACAAAAACAAUGAAAAAAGGUACCCAAACAAAAAAGGAUCAAUACCUUUUUAGCCUCAAUAAACAAUUAUAAAAAAUCACCAAUAAUCACAGUAACCAUGCAGGGGGAAAAAAAGUCAAUGCCUUUAUACAAUUGGGGUUGUUUUCCUACUCAAAAUUCAGUAAUCAGUCAAUUUUUACUGUGGAGCAUAACAUGCAGAUUAAAAAAUGACAUGAACAUCAAAAGCUGAAAAUUUGAAAAGCUUCUCAAUAACUUACAUGGAAUUGAUCUGAAACCGUUUCGGUUGAUUUCUCCUUUGCAAGAAGGGGUUUGGCGGAAUUGGUAGAAAUUUUCUCAAACCAUAAGAAACGAUGAUUUUGAAGAAUUGACCUGGUCUGGUUGGACCGGCGUGGUUAAAUACGAAACCUCCCGACUUGUGUUGGGUUGGCCGAGGUUUAUUGUUUGGACUUUUUCGAGUAUUCUUUUGGGUUAAAGCGGGUAGAACCAGAACUUUUGCAAAUUUAAGCUAACCGAAAACUUGGGGUACAUCAGCCCAACCCAAAACUGAGUAUCGGGUAGACAACACAAUUCAAUGGUUUUACUUUUGGGAGUUCAAUUGACUGACGUCAGCUUAAACUCUUUUUCUUUUUUAAUGUCAAUGCUCGGUAGUCAAUUGAAAAGUUUUUAAAUUCCAUACCCAUUAUUAUCUUUCAAAUUUUCAAUUUUUUUUUAAUUUCACCUGUUAAUUUAGAAAAGGGUGAUUUUCACUCAUGCAAGAGAUGUGGAUCUCGUGAUCCAAUCAUUUUGCACAAUUCUAUGGCAUAUUAACCACUCGACAAAAUUAAAUAUUUUUUUGACAGAAUUGGCCAAUUAAAUGUGAUGAAACUAUCAAAUUUUGAGGAAGAUAUAGUUUUAAACCUAUAUUCGGCAAAAAAAAAAAAAUUUGUUUGUUUGUUCUCAAGAUUUUACUUCGAUUAGUUUCUCAAUAUAUGAUUGAAUAUUUUACUGUUAGUCUGAAUUAACUAUUAUAUUAUAUAAAAACAUCAAAUAUUUCGCCACUACACUUUCUUCUUUUCUUGUUAUAAAAAAAAAUCAAAAUCAACAUCAUGGGUUCAAGAGAAGAGUAUUCUCUCCAACUUAAUUUGAUCUCUCUGCAUGAUUAUAACGGAUUAUUGCACGGGACGGAAUUUAUUCAGCCCGUAUUUUUGGGCUGCGGCUGAUGGUUCCUUGUCAACCAAAACAAAAAACUUAAUUUGGCCUCCAAUGUAGAGUAACAAGCACUGCAAAUCAACUUGGUGCAGUGGAUGCAGUCUCCAUGAACUAACUCCUUGUUGGAUUCAAGAAAAGUGAUGAAUUAACUGAUUCUCGGGCCACUCCAUCAUGUAACAGCCCUGAUGCCCAUCCUAGGCUGCCAUUCAGCAGUUCGCCGCAAGAAGUUGUCACUAACAGUGGGUUUAAAAAAAGUUGCUGAAGCAGUCCUGAGAAACAGGCAGAACUAGCCUUGUUCUGCCAUUUGCUGCAAAUGGGAAGGUUGUUUUUUGGCCUGAAGGGAAGUUCCGAAGCCUCGUGAUGCAUCUCCAUACAUGAGCUGAUAAUGCUUGCAAAGAAGAAACGUUAUUGCUUUUGCAUCCAGCAUUUUGAUCUUGGUUUCAGUUUUGCUACCGACUCUGAUGAGAAAGAGAGAUGGAAAAUUCUCUCUAAGAACAAUUUGCGGUGAUGCUUUUUUUUUUUUCUUCCUCUCUACUUCCUGUGAAGCUUGAGAUAUUCAGAACAACAUAGCUCCAAAUUUUUGAAGGGAAUUGCAUAUUGUUUGAUAGUAAAAUAUCAGUUAGAUAAAUGCUUGAGAACAACUUGGGAAGAUAAAGCCAAAAUUUGGUGUCUACAACGGUGAAGUUAGUAUAUGUUAAAUCGGUAGUUUCUAAUUAAUGCUUACCGGCCAUGUUAUCAUAUAGGUAGAUUCAUUUUGCAUCUUGUAAUCAAUUUUAAGCAUUCUUGAAAUCUAAAAAUUAAUUAAUCAUUCUUCCAAGAAAUAAUUCUUUUUCCUAUUUUCUUCUAUUUCUUGAUCCACAACAGGUAAUUGUUUUAUAAUUAAGUAACAUGUUUAACUUAUUCUAAUCUAUAACUUAUUGGAUUUAUCUAGACAAAUGUAUAGAUGAACUAUUAUUAAGAGUUAAGACUAAGUAGAUGGAGAUGUUCUUUAGUGGUUAACCUCAUCCUCCACUAGCGUCGGUCAAUUGAUAUUCUAGGCAAAGGCCAACAUCGACUAAAAUUUUGUCAAAAGGGCUUCAUCAUUAAACAAUGGCAAAAUUUGCAGCCCUGUCAAUAUAUACAUACCCGUUGCUUCUUGGACGAUAAGUUCAUCUAUUACAUAAUCCUAACUGUUCACACUUUGCAUUCAAUCAGCUGCUUUUAUGUCUUCUAAUCUGCAAAAUAUUCCAAGAAUGUGCAGCACCGAUUCUUUUCUCACCACAAAAGAUGCAGCUUUUGAGACAGCAAGAGUAAAGAACUUAGCAGCCGUCUGAACUCUGGAGCUGCCUCUGGCUGAGUUCAUCACAAAACCAAGGAGCAGUUCUCUUUGAUAAGAAUAAAUUCGAUCAACAAGAAACUUGUACUCUACAUCACUCCUGUCGAAAGAGUGGCUUCCCGAGUGCUACAAUUCUAAGCAAUCGAAGCAAAUGGGAAAAACUGAAGUAGUUGUAAUUAAGAAGCAUGUUUAAUUGCCUAUAAGGAGGGAACGUAACCUUUUUUGGCUCGUCACAUUGAUCAGCUGUAGUUACUGAAGAUGCUAAGAAGGGAAGGAGCAAGGUAAAAUGAUGAUGAAGAACAUGGAAGGGAGGAGUUGAAGAAAGGCUUCUAUUGCUUUGAGAAUAAGAAGAGAGUGGAAGAUUUUUCAAGCAACAGAUAUCACAGCAGGAGGUACUUUGACAUAGUGGCAGCCCCUACAAGACCAAACAAGCAAAGCAAGGAUAUAAUGUUGGCCAUUGCACUAGAUGUGUCCGCUGACAGAAAAAUUUUGUGAGAAUCGCAGUCUCCUCGAAAGCCUCUGACAAUCAUAGCCUGUAAAGUCCCAAAAUUAAACUAGCCUUUAUUAGAUAUCAUACUGUAAAUUGUGACUUGCAUUCAGAUCUGAUGAUGAAGCUGAAACUCAAAUCAAGUUUACCCUCAAAACAGUUAAAUUAGUUUUGCAAGUUGUUAACUAAUUUUUAACUAUCAACAAUUCGCAAUAACCCCAUAGGUUUUCUUUUGCCUGAUUGACUAUUCUACAUAAUAGAUUGUCCGCAGCGACAGUUUUGGACUACAGAGCAUGGAAGGGACAUUUCAGUUUGGGAGUCACUUUUUUCUUUUUCCUUUUCUUUUGGGUUGCUUUUCCCCCAUUGCAAAGAACAUCUCUGAGUAGGGUGGUCUCAAGAACACUGCAACAGUUCGACAUGUUCUUUUUACAGGGCACAGGAGCAAGGAGAGGUAACAAGCAGCCAUGGCAAGGUGCAUUUUGGUAUUCAAAGGUGAUAAACUAUAAAUCAGCUUGAGAGGAAAAGUUCUGGCAAAUAUUCCAAACCUGAGAUAUCUGCUCUGAGUGCCUGAAAAUGUUUUUGAAGAUCCGUCUGAUGUAUGUAAAGAAAACUGCAAAUUAACACCACAUAUCUCAAUACACAUGACAAAACUAAUGUAGUACUAUGACAUUGUAGAAUUGCUUAGGCAUCUAAUGAAGUUUAUGGUAAGGGCCAUUACGAGUAUAGCCACAUCAUUCCAUGGAAACGCACAAGCCAGGUGCAUUAGUAGUGUAUCAUGAAUAGAACCUUUUACAUCUCGGAAAAUGUUGAAAUGUCUACAUGCUAAAUACUUGUACCUUUUUACUUACCAUCAACUGUCUCCAUAGUGGUCAAAAGCUGCCAAUUGAUUCUGCGUGAUACAAUCCCCAGGGCAACAUUACGAACCUAUUGACAUUACAAGGUGAGAACAUUCUUGAAAAAACAUCAUGGGUAGCCUAUCCUAUUAAACCGAAACUCUCUCUCUAAAAAUCAAAGAAAAUGAUACAAGUGACAUGAUAAACCUAUCUCACCUCAUCGAAUACCAAACUGAUGAACCUCAAAGACAGUAAGAGAGUAAGGAUGACUUCUGCCACAGGCAAACCUAGAUGCUUCAGAGGAUGGAUGAACCACUGCAGGGCAAAUGCAAGCUGCUCGGGAGUCGUACUCGUGAGGCAGAGGCUUGCACUUUGGAAGAUCUUUUGUAAGAACAGAGGCCAAGAUCUCAGAAAAACAGAGCUAUUCAAGCUAACAAAGUUCAUUAAAGUAUCUUUAAGGACCUGAAGAAUGCCUUGGCAAUAAAGAAGAUUUUCCACAACUAGGAUAGAACAUUUAAGUCACUUAUUUACUAUUGUCUACAGGGUCUAAACCACCCAAAGGUUUUAUUUACCCUAAACAAAUUGUCCCAACAUUUGCUUUGUCUGUGAAUCACGGUUAUCUGUGAUUACUUAUCAGAGUAGAAAACAAGAAAUCACUUCAAUAUUUAAAAGUAAAAGUGGCUUGAUUAGAUAUUUCUUGGUCCUAUGGAAGAGUAACAUGAUUAUAUUCUAACUGAAAGUUAAACAUUAGAUCCCACAUUUACUUGCCAUAUUUUGUGUGAACUUGUAUUUUAACGUCUGUGCUUGUCUAAUGCAUAUCCCAAUUCUAGAGUCCUAAAAAAUGUGCCAAACUUUCAUGUGACAGACCUCAGAAAAGCAUACCAUCUGUGGCCUAAGACUUCUGGAUAGACAGGAAGGGUGGUACAAAUUUUCAUCUUUUUUUUUUCCCUAGCAAGGGAGGGGUGGGAUUUAAGAAGCGGGGAGGGGGCAGGGGGCUUGAGUUCAACCUUAGCCACUAGAUCAAGGCCACCUCAGCGGUAGAAAAUUUCAUCAUGCACCGAAUAAUCAUUUUAAAGUGUUCAUUUUUUUUCACAAAAUUUGGCAAUUUGCUCAAGCAGAAAAGACUCACAACAGCAUGCACAUAAGAAGAUGUAAGCAUUCGUCCAUAAGUCCAUAACAGGCACAUUAAGCAUACGCACAUCAGAUAGCUGAAAAAAACACUCACAACAAAGGUCAAACAUGCUGAUGUACUAGCUGUUGAUAAGCCCUUCCUUGUCAAUUGUAAGGGUCCAAACUUCAUAACAACGUAUGAAUAGCCAUCCAAAGAUGUCGGAAGAUUCGGCAACCCCAAAACUGAGGGUGGUGGAGUUCUUGAAAAGACAAGGGAUGGUGCACUAUCUGUACCCAGUCCUAGCAUUAUAAAUAAGAUCCCAGAGAGCAGGGUCACCCGUCCCAACUGGUCCUGUAACAAUAUGAAUAAGGCACUGUCCUGCAUCAGCACUCCCAUAUUUUCCACAGGAGAACAGAGUACACAUACACUAUCUGAAUCAGAAGAAAAACAUGGAAGUACAAAGAAGGUUUUCCUAAAUGCCAUGCCCAGAAAGACGUGAAGAAAUAUCUAAACAAUCCUUUUCUACUUGUUUGGCAAAGAAAACAACCAAUUGUUCUAUUGGAGACAUAAACUUUCCUUAUAUCGGUAAAUCAAAUGGAGAACAAGACCGCAAUCUUUGACAAAUUCAAAAAACAAACUUACCAUCCAAACCUGCUUAGGCUGCAUCAACAUCGAUAACGAAGCCAGGAAAAUCACUAAGCCAAAGCGCACAGAGAUGUGUGACCUUGCUGGUAAAACAACAAGUACAAGGAGCCAUACCUGCAUAUAAAGAAACUAGGAAAUCAUCAUAAAUGAAAUAAAGGAACGAGAAAAAGAAGUAAUAUGAUAGUCCCGAACAAAAAAUUGCUCCAUGGCAGGAAGUUUAAGGCAAUGCCCAGAAGGAAGUCAGGAUGAACUCCUUAGGCAAGCCUUUACUUAAAUUCCCUGUUCCUUUUUAUCAUCAAAGAUUACUAUAGAAACUAUUCCCAGUAUUAUCAAAGAUUACUAUAGAAACUAUUCCCAGUAUUAUCAAAGAUUACUAGAAUUGAGUUCUAUCAUCCCCACUUCUCUCUAUCCCUUUUUCUUGGUCUAUUAUUUUUAUUUUUAUUUUCAUUUUCCCCUUCAAAUACUAAUUUGAGUGUCUGGUAUUGUGGGGAAUAAGUUAAUUAUCCUUCUCUGCAGGAAACUAAUUGUCUCUGCCGGAAACCAGUUCUAAAGUCCUUAAAUAUCUUAUUUAAGCCAAGUAAAAGCAAUCCCAAACAAAAAGCACAUGCUGGGGAAAAAAAUGGCUAAGUUUCCAGUUAUGCUCCCAGUAAGCUUCCAUUAAUCAAACUUCAGAGAUUCAAUUACCCUUUUACGCAAACUCACAAGUUCAGAAAAACCCGAGUGAGAAAAAAGAAAAACAAAAGGAAGAAGAAGCCAAACUGAAAAUCAACAAAUUGAAUUACUUUUAACCGCUGUUUAGGAAAAAAAACUGAGCAAAAAAAUGGAAGGAAAAUUUGUACCAAUUUAAUUCUGGGAUCAACAGUGUGCAAGAAAGUUGUUGGUGAAGAUAUAUACUGGGCAAUGGGACUAGAAGUAGCCUCAGAAAUCCAUCUGAAUAUUUUAUCAGCAGCAAGAAAGUCUCUUGGAACCCAUUUUUCCCAGUUUCUGGAGCCCCCAACUCCUUCACUGUUUGCUGCACAUCUGAUAAGGGGCUUUCUUACCUUUUGGCAGUGAUGGUGCAAGAAAUAAAGUUGGGUUCUUGAGUUUGGAGUGAAUUGGUGUUUGAAGAUUGGUGUAGUUAAGGGCCUAACAAGGAGAAGGGGAGAAGGACAAGGAAGUUUCGAUGAGGGAUGAGUGUGGAGAACUUGGGCGUACAUGGGUCCAGUCUACAGAUUACUGAUACAAUCGGGCAGGUUGAGUUGGGAAGGGGUUCGCGAAGGGGAAGAGGGAGGAAAACAGUUUUAAAUCUUUUGCUCUUUUUUCGUCUUAUUUGUUUUCUUUUUCUUUACAAUUUGUUUCCUUGCUCUGUUUUUCCUGGGAUUACCUUGAGGUUAUUGUUGCCAAUGAGUAGUAGUGUAUCAGCUAUGAAUACCUCUGAAAUUCAGCAACCCUUUGAAAUCUAGUGUACUAUUUGGAGACAUCGUCUGUUUUUGUGAAAGAGGAGAGUAACCAAUCCAGAAUUGAUUUGGCAUGUUAAGUUGGGAUUUUUUAGAUUAGUUUCUUCCCUUUUCUAAAAAAUUUAAGGAGCUCUUCAACCGGAUUGGAAAAUUUAUUAUGGUGUAUUCUGAAGACAACAUGUUCAUUUUCCUUUCAAUUGCAAAUUUUUCAUGGAUCAUGGGUCAUCAUGGGCAUGCUUAGAAUUGGGAUUGUAACUCUUUUGAGGAAAGGCAAAUCAUGAAAUGCUUAUCAGCAUACAUAUUGUUUCUAGGAAUGCACAAUUCAGAUGAACUUCAGACCAGUUAUUUCGGCCCAAUAUUAACAUGUACUUCAUUACACCUGUUUUUCACAAAAUCAGGCACGCCAAAUCAACAGAAAGAGAAUUAUGGAUAAACAAGACAAAUUUGUAAAUCCUUCACUUGAUUUAUGUAAUUCUGAUUCGAAUUGAGAAGAUCAGACACGUCCUCUGAUAAUCCUCUCACGUGCAACAAGGUCUUCAACCCCAGCAUGGAUUGCCCCGGUGCAGAACAAUUGUGUCCCACUCAGAAUUAUCAAUAUGACCUCCAAGGUCCUCUGAAGUAGACACAGAAAAGCAUAUAUUGAUAGAUACAUUUACGCUCCAUUCAUAUUUUAGUUCAAUUUGCAACAAAAAUUUUUGAUGGCUUACCAAAUUUGAAUCUGUCCAGCCUUUGUGAAUCUCCUUGCAAGCCAACCUGCAGAAGACAUUUGGCAUUCACGAGGUAUCAAGUCCCAAUCUUAGAAGAAACUGAAAGAAUGUAGUUGAAAGUGCUGAAGGUUUGAUGAUUCUUUUACCCCAUGGCAAGCAGCGUGAGUAACCAAGUCAUCAGAGAGGAGGCAGCAGCUGCAUGUAAGUUAGGAAGGUUCCAUUGGAUCACACUCUGGAUCCCAGCAAUUGAGGUGAUAAAUCCCACAACACCAGCAAUGAGGGAGAAAAUGAUCAGGAAACCAGUUGCCAUGUUCCCAAAUGGAAAGUAUAUUGGAAAUAUCCGAGCUGGGAUUGUCAGAGCAGAUGCUGCAAAGCGGAAAAAGUGAUCACUCUAGCAUAAGUUGAAAUCUUGCUUAGCAGAUGCAGUUGAUAAUGUGGUAACUACCUGUUUCACGAGCUCUUUGAAUUCCAUGAUUUACUGCCCAUCCUGAAAUUGCUGCAACAAUGAAAUAAAGUAUGACAUUAAGAACUAAAAGGCCAAAUGCUGCUGAUUUGCCCGCCCCAGAAGCCAUGGCCUUUAAAGCUUCAAUCAAGAAAACCGAAAUUUUGUUUUCUAUUACACCCUUCUUGUGUUAAAAAAGAGCAACAUACGUAUAUAUAUGCCACAAUGGUUCUAUACUUGGCCCAAAUCAAUGAUCUAGUCAGAGCAUCAUCUGGCCUUUUCUCUUCAAUGAAUAUUUUGAAGUAUCUUGAAUUCAAAGAAAUUGUUGGAAUUUCUUGGCAUCAUUCCCACUUUACCUCAUAGAGGAGAGAAGAAUCUUUUUUGCUUUCCAGGUUGUAAAAGUAGUUCCUAAAUAUUCCAGAGGAAAAGCUUAAUUUCAUAUGUGAUUCAAACAUUCCAGGUAGCACUAUUCUAUACUCCUAAUCUAAAUACCGGCUCCACCAACUAUUGAUGCAAUUCAGCUUUGCACAUUUUAAUUUGAGUUAAAGUAGUAUUACCUAAUAGCUUGUGGGCUACUCAUCCCUCAAAUUAUUUCUAGUUGAUUAGGAAGCUGAGAUGCCUGCACAGUUCCUCUAACCGGUAAAAUGAGUUCAACAAAACCAGAGCAUAAUUUUUCUUUCCUCUGGACAUUAACUUACUGAACUCAAAACAGAUGAGGUCGUUUUCUGCUGCCAAAAGAUAACAGUUAAAUUAGCAAAUUCCAUCUCCUUGGUGAAAGCAAAUAGCUGAUGUUUGUCUUUGCAACUCCUUGCAGUUGAGGCUAUAAUAAAUGUAGAAGUGAGAAUUGGAUACAUGAAAAACUAAAACAGAAAAACCAAAGCACCAUCUCAUUAGAAAAAAAAAAAAAGCACAAUCGAAUGUCAAUCUACAAAACAGAUUCAUGAACCCUCUGAUCCCAAACAAAUUGGAAUCUCAAAGGAACCAAUUAAUUAAGAACGGCUGACAGCCAAUUUAGGUUCCUCAUUUACAUGGCAUCUCCCCAAAGUGGUUACAGAUAAAGAGAACGAGCUGCAGUCCUACGAGCUCGUGCAUUUCAGAAUAAGUUCACGUCUUUGUACUGCAGCUUCAGUUGUUUAAACCUUUAAUGCAAUCUUCUGUGCAGCAAGAGCUUCUGCCUCAAGUGUGGGCUCCCAAAGAAUAGUAGUUUCGGCAAGUAAUGAAGUAACAACGUACGGAUCCAUGUUAGAAGCGGGGCGCCUGUCUUCCAAAUAACCUACAAUAGAAGGUGAGGGACGUUUGAAGCCCAUCAGUGUAAGCAACAUAGUGCUAAAACCGCCACUCCAUCCCCGUUGUUGUCAUUCAAAAAUGGGCGUUUCAGAAGAAUCCUAAACUGCUUAAGCAAAUUUUUUGUUAGCAGUUCAUAAUCUUAGGUACAUAAUGAGCUCCCACUUAUGUUGCCUCUGAGGAUAGGAGGAAGAAUAUUAACCAGGUUCACAUAUUAGAAUUAUCUCAAUGACAAUGAUAGGAGAAUAAAAUUUAUCAGAUAAACCUUCACUGUUAUGCUCUUUGUGCUCUUAUUGGUGAAAUACCUUUGCCAUUCUUCUCAGUUUCACGCCCAACACGGAUUGAGCAACCACGAUUAGCAACUCCCUGCAUUUUGUCAUCAAGUAAACUAAGUAAGGGUAUGGUCAAGUGAUACAUUGCUUUGUGGCAUCCUUUUUAUGUGGAGUGCCUUGUCUUAAAUAGAAGAGCAUACCCAAGAAAAUGUGUUGAUAUCAGCAGUUUCGUGCUUUCCUGUCAACCUUCUUUCAUUUCCUUCUCCAUAAGCACUUAUGUGAUCCUUGUGUCGAAGAGAUAGACUCAGGAUUGCUUUCUUUAUUUUCUCGUACCCUCCAUCCUCCCUCAUACUCUUUGUACUGUAAACCCAAAAAGAGAAUAAAAUAAAUAAUGGGUAAUUGAAGUCCAUAUACUUUGAAUCUCUGCAUUCUUCUUGUAUUCAUUUCCUCAUCUCCUAACAUGCACUAACUUUACAUGAUUAUCCUGAAGUACCUGUAAUUGGUGUGGCAUCCUGCACCAUUCCAGUCACCCUGAGUAUUGAUGACAAAGGACACAAUUUUUCUGGUUGAUUAACAAAUUGGAAAGGAAAAAGAAUUGCAAGAUAUAUAGGAUUUCCUAUACCUCUAUUGGUUUUGGAUCAAGUGUAAGAACAACUCCUGCUUGUUCAGUAAUUCUCUGUUAGUCAAGUAACAAGAAAAAAAAAUCUCACAUAAGUAUGUAUGUAAAAUAAGUGAUCAAGUAAUAUGACGUGAAAGAAUGAAACGUUGCUAACUAGAUCAACCAGUUACAUCAUACCCUGUAAAAUGUGCUGUUAUAUGCUUUUAAGUUGACUUGAGAGAAUAAAUUGCCUUAUUCUGGAUACUAUCCUAUACACAGAAAGCUAGGUAGCUCCUCUUUGAAAAAGCUUUUGAUGCAAGGAUGCAAACUGUCUAACUGGAAAAGAAUAUUUACCUCAAGAAGGUACCUAGCACACCAGAUGUGAUCUCCAGCUUCAAUUCCCACGCUAGGACCUACUUGAAAUUCCCACUGCCAAGUUAAUCUUAAAUCAGUCAUUUGACCAGGCAAGGAGUUGCCGAACAGGAGAAUAUUCAUAAUUGAAUGUAAACAAGAAGUGUUUUAACAUACAUUCUUGCUCAUAUAUAAGAUAUCAAAAGUUGAAAAAAGAAUGGAGGGAGGAGAACCUGCCCAGGCAUAACUUCACCAUUCGUUCCACUAAUAUUUAUUCCAGCGUAUAAGCAGGCCUUGUAAUGAGCAUCAGAUAUGUCCCGUCCAAAUAUCUUAUCUGCUCCAGCACCACAGUAAUAAGGGCCCUAAAAAUGCCAAAAAAGUUUAAACAUACAGAUACAGAACAAUAAUAUCGUCUAAAGUAAUAGUCUACAUAAAUUGACAGGUAACAAAUCAUGGGUUUCAGAACUGUUCACAUUCUUGUGAACUAACAGAUUUAAAAUUUUUUUUAUUUCAUGACAACAGUCAUUACCUGAGGACCGGGGUAGCCUCCAGCAGGCCAACCCAAGGGCCAUUUCACGUUUGUUUGCAGUAAGGUGUACUCUUGCUCUAUGCCAAACCUGGUUAAGGUUGAUUGCAGAAAACGAUUGACAAUCACCAGUUAAAAUAUUCAAGAAACAAACACAAGAACCAAUCAAGAAACAUAUCUUAAAGUUUGAGCCUUUUCUGUUCAGUUUUCCAUUUUUUAUUGGUGUCAACAUCUAGCAUAGACAUAAUUGAAGGGGUACUAAGUAAAAUUCAGCCUAGGAGAAUUUACCAUGGUACUUCUGCUAUAACCUUCGGGUUGCUAAAGAUCUGUGCAGCUCUGUAGCGCUUGUUUGUAGGAAUGGGCUCACCAGCCGGUGUAUAGGUGUCACAUAUGACCUGUUCAAGCCACGUAUGAAACUGUUACAUGAACACAAUUUAAUUAUAACACGAAUCAACAACUACUGAGCUAGUUCUCACUCACCAAAAUGUUGUUUCCUCCACGGAAUGGGUCCUUGAAAAUUGCCUGAGGGCUAAAAGUGUAUUCAGUCAAGCUCUAUUAUGGAAGGCAAAAGUAACUAGUGAGUACAUAAGAAGGUUAGUUGCAAUGGAUUCUUACUAUAAGAUAACUUCACUAUCUUCUCCAGGUGCUUGUCCAGUACUUGAUCCGAGUGUGCAUUUAGAAAAAGUCAUACGCAUUAUUUCAUUUACUUCCAUUGUGUGAUGGAAAGGUAGGGCAUAUCAUUGCUAACCUCUAGAUAAAGUUAAGCAACUGAGCAUGCAUUGAAACUCCUACAGCGGGGUUAUUGUAAUAGUGUUUGUGGUAGCUAGACCCAACUGUAAACAGUUAUGGCAAUAGUUAGUUAACAGUUAUCAUAUUCUUUUAAAUGGAAGGGUGUCAGCAACAGACGGUUGAAAACAAACUUGUUAACAAGGUAUGCCUGGUCAUGAAAAUUUAUGUAGUCAUACCUGAGCCUGAACUUAUGAGGCUAAAGUCAAAUUUCCUGGCUUCCUGUAUGUGCAUCUGUGCUAAUUUUAAGAGAUGAUAAAUCCUGUUGCUAAAUUGGUUUUACACCAAUUCAUUUUGACAGUCAAAAUAUUUCCAUCGGCUCAGAUCAUUGUCCUAUCUUUGUGGAAAAUCUUAUUUCUAGGUCAAACAAUUAUUGAGUGUACUGAACAAGCUGAUGACCUUUGACUAGCAUGCUGUUCAUGAUUUUUCUCCUUCUUCCCCUUUAUAUUUAGCUUAUUUCUGUUGUUUUUAACUAAGAGGUUUCAGGUAUUGUUAAGAUGUGUAUCCUGAAUUAUGAUAUAUUCUUCAUUAGUGGUCUGCAAUCUAUAAAACUAAUGAUGCUAGUUUAUGCUAGCUGUGGUUACAUAUUUAAUUUAUUAGCCUUGAACCAUUCUUUACUUCCCAACUCAUACGUUUGCACUCGCUUCUUUAAGUGUGUUAGAUGUAACUUUUGAAACCUAAUGCAUUCUUGGCUUCCUAUUGGUAAAACAGGGCAAAGAUUUGCUUUACGAGAAGGAGGUAGAACAGUUGGUGCUGGAGUGGUUUCAAAAGUACUUGGCUAAGAUGCCAGUGAUAAUUCUCCAACUUUUACACAAUGCUGGAUAUAAAUUGAAGGUUUUUUCUCCUUGGAUAUAGCAGGAAUUAUUGAUGGCGGCUGACCAUUUAUUAAGAUUUUAUGCAAGUUCUGGUAGGAUUUGGUGUACCAGUAAAUCAACUUUUUGAGUUUUUAGUGGUACCCUAGGAAUUCUAAGCAUGAAUUAAUGAAACAAAUCGCAGAAUGAUGAGCUUGUAAAAAGUAGUAUUUUCUUGUGCCUGGAUAUAUGAAGUGUAUAUACUCUUUUUCUUACAGUCCUAUCUCCAUGUUCUUAUUUCUGGUGAAAGUCAUUUAAGCUUAAGGUCAUAGCUUAUUCUCUUCUUUAGCCAAAUUCUGAUUUUAAACUAGUAACUUGGAAUAUGCAAUAGAGUCUUUGAGUGUUAUAUGUACCUCUGACAGGAGUUAAUGUAAUUGAGAGGAUGGAGAAUUUCAGAGAGAAACAUGACUUGCUUUACUGUUAUAUAACAUUUUGGAUGCAGUUCGGUUAGCUCUAACAAUGGUAGUUCUGUUUAUGAUGCUAUUAAGCAUUCAUGGUAAUUGAACAUGCACAUUCCUGUUUGUACAUGGUGAAGGAAAGGGACAUCAGGUCCAGCUCAUCCACAAUGAUGCAAAGAAUUGACUGUAUCGUGUUUUCUUUAUUUUCAUAAUUAGCAGUGCUUUUCUACUUUGCUACUCUUCCUCCUAGGCACGCAUCAUUUUAAGGUAAAAUGAUCUAUGAAUUGCAUUACAAUUUAAGGGACAGCACGUAAGAUUAAAUUUUUCUUGAAAGAUCUGUGCUUGAAAAGUAGAUCGAGAAAUGGGGAUAAUGAAUUUGCAUAAUUACAUCCUUUAUUAUUUUAGAGGAAAAGAAUAUCUCUAUUUUGUGAAAUUUUUAUGUAUAUAGUAUAUACAAGAAAUUCAACAUACAAUGCUUGUUUUGCAAAAUUCAUCCUCCAGAAGGCAAAUUUCAACCAUCUACCAGCAGCUGCAUUGCAAUUUCAACUAAUGAAUGAAUUGUUGUGCUAUGUCGGCUCAGCCCUACUGUCCCAGAGAAAAUAUUGAAGCUCUCAAUAUCGGAUAUGGUGUCCAUCAUGUGUUCUAGCUGUUCUUCCAUCCCUAAACUCUUGAAAGUUAGGAUGUUUGUUUUCUUAUCUUUCAUCAUCCAGAUUGCCAACUCUAAAACAAACCUCCUCAUCCUUGGAACCCUGAUGGAAGGAUACUGAUAUUGCUUCAGAGUCGCAACAAGUUUCUUAGCCACUUCAGCUUCUUGGAUGCCCGCUCUCUGAAACAUAAUGCUUGAUUCCCAUGAUGCCAUAAACUUGAAAAUACGUGCUGCUAAUCCAAUCAUUACUUCCUGCAACUUGGUUUCUUUUGUCAUGAUUGCUUGAAGGACCUGCAAGGGGAAAAUUGAUAAUUACUCAAUGCUGUUUCCUUUCAUGAAUUAUGACCACAUAGACACAGCACGAAACAAGAAAAGGGAUGAAGAAAAAGCUUUUGCAAUGUAGUUAUUACAACUUACCGUUGGUCCUGCAUCAGUAAGGUGGUGCAGUUGAUCAAAGCUAUCUUCUCCGCUGGAUGCACAUAAAUUUCGUAGAAUUCUGCCGGCAUUAAUUCGAAGUAGUGGAUCUUCUAACGCUUUAACAAGCUUUUCAGUGACAUUUAAUUUCAAUAUGCGCAAGCAAUUACUUGUGCUUUCAAAUGCCAGCAUUGAUAGUGCUGCUCCUGCUGCAAUUUUUACAUCUUUGUGCUUUUCAUCUGUCACCUGCUUGAAGAAGAUGUUGAACAGCUCCUUGAGGACCCCACCCGUGCCCCCAAUUCUCUCUGUUGCGUCCUCUUCCAUUGCCAGAUUUCUUAGGAUAUCUAUUCCUAACUUUUGCAGUGUUGGAUGUUUCUCCCCAUACCUCAAUAUGUCUCUGAUAUUGCUGAUUGUGAAAACUAUCUCUGAAAUUUCUCUCCUGAGCUGUUUGCCCGUGGCACCAGUAGUGCAGGACAGUCUUUUUACUACCUGCAGAGAUCGUUUUACUGUUAAAAUCUGAGAGGGUGUGGUUGUCGCAUCCGUCAGGAGCCUCUCUCCUGCGUGUGUGCAAUCUAUGAUUUUUGGCAGGAGGCCUCUUGUAUUCCCUAUCUUCCCACAAUUGUCAUGGUCGCGAGCAAGCUGCUUCAAAAUUGUGAGCCCCAAAUGGUUGAAUGUCCAGAAGCUAUAAUGUCCAUCAUCGAAGAUGAUGCUCUUUUCUGGUAUUUCAUCAGCUGCAUCACCAAAGCUCCUGCUGAUGUGGAGCAAGGAUGAUAUUGAUUCCAUUGACCCUGGUAUACCAGCUACCCUAAGAGAAUUCUGCUUUUUACCAGCAAGGUGUGCCACAAUUUCUGCAGCUGAUUUUCUGAUCUGUUCUUCUUCAGGGUCUUUCCAGUUCAACAUUUCUACUACCCUUUCUGUUACAGAUAAGUUUAUACCAAUCUUUUGGAGGGUGUCAUCAGAAAACCGCUUGCUUUUUGAAAAUGUUUCCAGAAUUUGAGCCCCCAUAAGCUGUUCAUCAGGGGAGUUCGAGCCCAAGAGAUCCAUCGCAAACGAAACCAUAUCCAUUUUCAGGCCAUCAAAAAUGCUUCCAUAAACACAUUUUGAAUAUGCAUCAUAGAAAAACCUUCUAAUUGCGAGCAUACCUGAUGUCCCCAUCUCACACUGCUUGUUCACCUCAUCCAAUAUUUUGCGAAACGUUACAUUCCACUCCCAAUAGGCUUUCUCCAGGAGAAACAGCAGUGCUUCCGCCAAAGCUAAUGAAUAGAAUAUAAUCAAAGCUGCCUUCCUGUUCCUCUUGUCUGAGUCAUCUUUGGACACAGCGCCAAAGUUUCUCUUGAUAAGCUUCAUCAGGGAGAGCACUACACAGGUCGUAGCGGAGAUGAGUUGGAGCCAAUACAACAAUUUACUGAUAUUUCUUGAUAUGAACACCCAUGAAGUAUACGGAAUGAGAGGAACCUCUGAGCUAUUCCACGUUCGAGUUGGCAUCCUCUUCUGAUGCCAGUUGUUUCGGUUUGCCUGAUGGAUGCUCUGUGUGAUGAUCUCCCUGCUCUGUCCCUUGCCUGGAUUUCCAACAGCAGCAAUAGGCCUAAAAAUUGCCUUGGCAGUUUUGAUGACAAAGUUUGAGCUUGAUCUGAUUGCGCGGAAGCUACUAGUUCCAACAUCAGCAAGGGACCAUGUGGCUUGGUGUUGCCAUUCAAGCUCAUGACUCCUGCUAAAUAUCCUUGUGCCCUCAAUCAGCAGAAUAAUGGUUAUGAACCAAAAAUCUGUUUUGUCUAAAGUGAUGGCAAAACCACCAAGAAGAACAACUGUAGCCCAUAUGAAACCAAGAGUUCCCAAUCCAGUUGCUGCUUUUUCCAGCACAGCAAGCCUCAGAGCAAAAAGGGUCAGCUUCUUUUCUGGUGCACGGAUUGCUUCUACCUGCCUUGCUGGAGUAACUGAACUGCCUGUGCUACUAGUGUUCUUUAUCUCAAUAGAGCUUUGAGGUUGUAAGAUUGCUGUUGGACUUGGACCUGGACCUGAACUGCCUGCUUCAGAUAUCUGCAGAUGGAUGCUUCCUUCACUAUCUAUCGACGAUGCAGGAUUCAUCGUUGACUUCUUCUGAGCAUUAACAAAAGAAUAGCCAGGCAGUUUAGUUUGGUUGUAGUUUGACUUGAAAAUGGCACUGGGAUCGUUAGGAUAGGAUGGAGUUUAAGGUGUAAAGUUCUUGGUUCUUGAUCCUGAUGGCUGUCGAAAAAAAGAGUUUUCCGACUGGAGUUUAUAUAACAACCAAAGGGAAAUGAGCUUGGGCUUCAAGUUUUAAACAGUGGAAAUUUGGAGGAAAAAGAAAGGCAAGUUGCUUUUCUUUCAGCCAAAUCUCUUUUUUGUAGGUAGUUAGUAAGCAGUUUGCUUUUGUUUUUGGAUUAUCUAAUCCUUCAGUCUUGACAUAAGAUUGUCUUUGCCAGGCAGCUCACCCUUACUUAAGACCUUGGUUUUGAUGGGCUGUUUCGAUUUAUGAAGUUUCUUCGCUUGGUUGGAUUGGUUGGUCAUCCUUUAAAGAAUUGUAAAAGUCUCCUUCAUUCUAACUGAAAAAAGGGGCAAUAAAGUUGUUCAUCUUUGAGUUUUAGCAGCAGACCUUUAAUAUCCAUUCCAAUAACUGAACAGAACUUUCAUAAGGUACUCAUUUGCAAAUUGAAUGUGAUUAAGUUGCUUAUUGCACAAGUUGCUCAAAUAGCAAAGGAUUUUGUUACUCAACAGAAAUUAUUCUGAGAGUACAUCUAACUUUACAAAAACCCUUCUCAGAGAUCAUAAUUUCUUGAUCAAUUUCUACCAAAAAAUUCAGCGACAGGGAAAAAAAAACUAUUGCUUAAAGCCUUGUUCGACUUUGACGUGGGUUGUGUGACGUGCAAGUCUGCUGAUCAAGCGUUAAAGCAGGGCAGAAAGGUUAAAUUCAACCAAAUUGCUUGUGCAGCUAGUUUUGCCAUGUCAUGUUUAUUAAUUGGAAGCAUUUUGACCUUUCUCCUAAACAUAUCAUUGUCAGGUACAGAAAAGCGCAUUCCAAUUCAAUUCAAUGCAUUAUCUCUGGUUUAGACUUUAGAGACUUGAAUCCCUGAAUUUUCUAUUAGCGAUUGUGAUUCUUAUCAAUGUCACACGUCCACGCAUACUGCUGAUACAGAAAUUAUCUAUCUAGGUUCAUAAUUGACAAUUUCGUUCAUUACAUUAUAUUCUGACCAGACCGAACCAAACUCUCCACUUGAUCAAGCUGGCGGCCCUAUUCCAUAUAAUCAAAUGGUUGCAUACCUCUUUACUACUAAUCUUGCUAUCCCGUGCUGAUGAUUAUGUCUCGAUUCAACUUCUAAGUUGAAGAAAUUGAAUGGUUCUUGAUCAAUUCUCCGGUUAUGGGCUAUGACUGCAUUCAUGGAAGUUGUCUAGAUUGUGCGAUAUUGGCAAUGUAGAUGGCUGUGGCUUGUAGGGUUGGUUUAUGGCGAGAGUCUCAUGUUGAGUUAAGCAAAAAGGCCAUGCUUCCCUUCCUUGUAAGAUUGUGUAUCUAACAUGACAAAACAAACAAACAUAGAUUAUGUGGUUCCAUGACAGAACACAGACGUGGAAGCAGUCUUCUUCUUAUACAACUAAUGAUACCUUAACCUCAUGAAAGCUGUUUUUUCUGUUUUGUAUAUAUAUAUAUAGAUAUAGAUAUAUAAAGAAACACUCAAAAUGGGAUUGUAGUGACACGUUAGAAAGGAAUAUUUAUGAUCUGUACAUUACCACGGAUUGGGUCCCCUAUAAAAGAUUCUUUAGUGACAUAUACUACUGUCUCUCCCAUUCUUGAAAUUGAUAGAGAGUUUCAGAAGAACGUAAUUGGAUAGUCGACCCCUAAUUAGCUUUGAACAGAAAUGGUGUUUUGUACAGAAACCUUGGGUUCUAUUUUGAGUCUUGACCGGUCCCCAAUCUGUCUAGUAGUGUAAUGCUUUGCCCAGUGGGAUGUAACAUGCAGCUGACAGCUUGUUUGUCUCUAGUCAAGGAGACUUGAUAAAACAUUCAUGGCCAUAGAAAUAGAACAAAGACCCUACAUCACGACAGUAGAUAAAGUGUUAAAAACAUUUACGAACCUAUGAAUGUGACUUCGACUGAAAAAGAUCGAUAAUUAAGCUGCAUUAUUGAACAAACAUAAGAUUGCUUGCAUCCGAAAGUCACGCUAUAUAUGAAGACAUUCUUAAUAGAAAUGAUGAUAUGUUUGAGCCCAAAGCUGAAGUUUUUCCCGAUAAGAUACAUAAAAGAUUGAUUGGCUACAAUAAGCAAGUCUCUGGUUUUUCCCGUAUAAACUCUUUGGUCCAAUGUCUUCCAACACGUUCUUGAUUUACUCUGAAGCAACAGCGAAACAUCUGCACAUCUUCUGCUUUUCACUCGCACGAUUCAAACACUAACGCAAAAUUAUAACACAAAAUUCCACAAGUUCUCAGAACAAGCUAUACCCCUGCUUGUACAAAAUACAAUAGUGUAUUUCUUGUAUAACACCUCCAAUUCAAAACCUAAACCUGAAGAUUUUCUCAAACGACCUCAGGUCUUUCAGCAGUUAUCUCAAAGAUGAGCGUGGCGUAGCAACACCACUACCAUGGUAAAUGCCUCCAAGUCCUCAUGACAAAUAAUAAUGUGAAGUGUAGAGCUGGAUAAAGAUACAUGUAACAAGAAGAAGUAAUGGAUAAUAGAGAAGACGAGACAUUUUCGCCACACCAUCUGUUUCAUUCGAAGGAGAAAGUAUUUCAGUUGCAGGUUUAGCUUCAGCAAUCCACAACAUGUAUCUACGCCAGUUUUCCAUUCAGGAAAUCUCAAGGCGGUCUUUUGCCAGUUUUCUUUUUCUUUCAUUCUACUUCAAGAAACCAGCACUAGUUCUGAGAGGUGAUCUGUGUUUUAUCAAAGGGAGAGCAUAAUUUUCUUUCAAAUGUCAUAAUCAGUAGUUCAGCAUGAAAAAAGAAAAAAAUUUUCACAGCACUUUAUAUUUAUUAUUAUUUUUUUUUGAAAGAUAAACGUCUUUGAAUGUGUUAAGCAAAUAACCAGCAACCAUCCACCUUUCUCAUGUUUCAGCUCUCAUGGUGUGGCACAGGGGAAAAAAUUACUGCAACUAUGUAUCCAUGAAGUCACCAAUCAACAACAGUUAGAAUAUACAUUAAACAGUUGUAUAUACAUUAAACAGUAAUCCGACACCACCACUCAGCAGAUACCAUUUGCCGCCUACAAGAACAUACAACUGUAAGAAAGCAUGGGAAGUAUUGAUCUUCAAAUACAUGGUUGAUGAAUGAUUACUCUCUAAUUCAUAUGACGAGAAAGGGAAAAAGUGAAAGAACAACUUGAUUCACAAACACUUCAAUUCAUCAAUGUUUCAACCUUAAGGUUCAGAAACUUAGCAAUUUUUCCUGGAUCAAAGUCUCAAAAUGUAUGCUAGAAAACAUAAAUGACGACAAAAAAUACUAAAAAUUUUCCCCUUGUCAUAUGAUUCUCCAAUUCUUAUGAUGACAAAGAGAAAAAGUGAAAGAACAACUCAAUUCAUGAAGUUUUAAGGUUCACAAACUUUAAAUUUUUCCCUGGAUCAAAGUCUCAAAACAUAUGCCAAUAUGUAAAUGACCACUCAAAAUACGUAUGAGAAAAAAAUGAGAGAAUCCUGCUCAAAGUAUUAGUUUGAGCAAUAUAAGUUAAUACACAGCUUUGCUCUAGAGGUACAAGUAAAAUAAACAAGUAAGACGGCCUUAGCGAAACAAAACCUUAGCAUUAUUCAUAGUGAUAUAAAUCAGUAAAACAACAUUGAAACAAGUUUGCCACUGCUACGGUUUACUGAAAAUGAGCUACUUGAGUCUUUAAAGAUUGAUUGCAUGACUACUUCUGGAGUGCUAGCUGCUACAAACUCUCCAAUUAAAGAACCAAUUACUCAAAAAGAAUAAUCAGCAAGGACAUAACUGUCAGAAAGAGGAAAAAGAAGGUUAAACAUUAUCAACAUAUCAAUGACAACCAGAUGCUUGCACUGCCUUUAGUUCACUUCCUAUAAUUAUGAAUAGAAAGAAAUUAAACCCUCGAUAACUCAAGAUUAACUAGCUGACUUGGGCAUAUUUCCACUAUUUUCCCAAUUUUCAUUUUGGCUAAGCAGGCUUUCAGGAGGAAUUAUCCAUAUGCAGUUACUUCUGAUCAUUGCUUUUGCAUUCUCUCUCAUAAAAUAUAUGCAAUGCCUCAGCUCAUCUACAAGAUCAAUGCCAAAAACCAACACACUGAAAUUUGUGAAAACGAAUAUUUGUGUAAAACCCAUAUCUUAAAAAUUUUAAAAAAAAAAGAAAAAAAAGAAAGACAGUAAUGACUCCAAAAUAGCAUCAGUUACUUACUCGACCUAAGCAAGCCAGUAUUUCUAUUGAAGAAGACUUUUGCAGAAGGUAUUGAGAUUGGGCUAUGAAUAAAACUGAAUCCUAAGCACUCCACAAACUGAAAAAAAAAUCUAAACUCACGCAGUUUUAUUGAAUGAACACCAAACCACUGAGAGUACCAAGUAUUCAAGCUGAAAGAUGGUGACAAGAAUUCACUAACAGGGGACCUAACAUUGCAUUAACUUGAAAUAAGUAGAAGUGCCUCAACUGUAGCUACAAAAAUUGUUUCACUGUAGAAAAGAGACAAUACCAUAAACAUAACAUUCUAGCUUUGACAACCAAUGAAUCAAAUUUUCAUAAUUUACCUAAUCGAUUGAGAAGACCAUUCCAGCACUAAAUGACUAUAUUCCUUUGAUUCACUUUAGCCUUCUCUGCAUCAAUAAUUGACUCAACCAACUUAACCGUUCCAUCCAAUUCCCCUUCCUUAUUCACCACCACAUAAUCAAAAUUGCUCAAAUGCUUGAUUUCCUCCUUGGCCGUGGCAAUUCUAACAAGCAAGGUCUCCUUAGUCUCAGUCUUCCUAUCAAUCAACCUUUUCACCAAUGCCUCCUCACUCUCAGCAACCAAGAAGAUGAACACAGCAGACUUCCCCAAAAUAUUUCUCAACGUUGCGGCCCCUUGUAUAUCGACUCUCAAUACAAUAUCACUCCCUUUAGCCAUAUGUUCCCUAAUCUGCUGUUUUGGGAUACCCUUAUAAUCACCAUACACCAACGCAUAUUCCAAUAGCUCGUCUUGCGCAAUCAUUUUCAAGAACUCCUCUUUACUCACAAAAAAAUAAUCUUUGCCAUCAAUUUCACCAGGCCUCAUUGCCCGGCUCGUUGCAGUAACAACAAAAUGUAUACUUUCCCUAACUUCCCUCAACCUUUUGAUAACUGCAUCUUUACCAACCCCACUUGGUCCACUGAUCACAAUCACCAAAGGAUUAGGAUUAGGCACCAGCGGCUCAGAGCUGAAUGGGGAUCCUAAUGAGGCCUCCAAAGCCCGAUACAGCUCAGCCCGGUCUGCAGUUUCUGGGCAUGGUAUGGGGACUACCGCAGGUCUUCUAGCAUCACCCAUUGGUGAAUUUGCAGAAAAGAAGCACCGGGCCGGUAAAACUGGCCUGUGGGAGGUGAAUUGUAGAGUUUUUGGGGAGGUGAGGAAUGCUGGGCUCGAGGGGAAUUCAGCAAAAGGGUUGAUGAAUUUUCGACUGAGGAAAAAUGGGUUGUUGUUGAAUUUGGCUAAAGAUGUGCACAGCCUUCUUACCAGCAUCGAUUUGAGUUUGGUUUGAGUUUAUAGAGAAACACUGUGUACUUGUGUGUGAGAAUUGAGGUAUUAGAUGAGGAAAUAUCGGAACAAAGAAUAGGUAUUGUUGGGUACGGGGAACAACUGUAACAGAUUUUUGCCGCCAAUUUGAGAGAAUUUGUUGACAGUCUAGACGUUAAUGGGAUCCUAGAUUUAGGGUUUGUCUCCUCUACACACUUUUUUUUAGUUUUUUUUUUGGGGGGGCGCGGGGGUGGCGGCGCUUGGCCUCUUUUGUCCAUUUUGCUCUUUUUUUCCUCUAUUAAAAUGGAAACUAACAAAUGAAUUCUGCUCGUAAAUUUACUUUUGUGUCGGAUUAUUCUUUUUGGCUGUUCUUUUUGUUCUAAUCAUUUAUGGCUUUUUCAAUUUUUGAAGUUAAAGAAUCUAGUUAAUUUACGGUUAGAUUGUCCACCAAGUGCACGACCUUACAGAUCGAACUGCCAUCACUGAGCAGUAGAUUCUGAUUGUAUGCAGCCUAUCCAUUGAUUCAACAGUAAGUAACACAGAGAUGCAGAAGUAAAAGUUCUUGCUACUCUACUUUUGGCUUGUAUACCAAAUGGGGUUGGCCAAACAGACUUAUUUCUUAGUACAGAAUGGUUCAUUGACACAAAACCAGUAGUCCUGAUGUAACAGAUCAUGUAAGGAGUUUACAACUGAUAUCACUAAGGAAAAAGAACAGAACAAUUAGUGAAAGGAGAUUGCUCUCGUUCGAACAUCCACAUGCCCUCUUCAUCAGAAUAGCAGUUGUAGAAACGAGUAAAUGCCUGCCUCUUUACACCCAAAAUCAGUGCUGUUAAAAGAAAGUAGUCUUUACCACAUAUGGACGAUGUAAGAGUUACACACUCUCAACUUCUCAAGAGCGCUUCUAGUUCUGUCAAAUCACCCUGUCCCAAUUAUACAACAAACCACAAAUCAUAUAGAGCAGUCAUGGUAUAUCAAGAUGGAUCAUCCAUCAAAGCGCUUGCUUAAUCUGGGAAGUAACAGUCUGCCAAAGUUCAUGUGAAGAUCAAUACCACUGACUUCCAGAUCCAACUUGAGCAGCAGCUACUUUCCUCGCCAUAUACUGCUCAGGUUUAGGCUGCAACGGGUUAGGUCCUUCAAUACUUUCUUCUUUAUCACUUUUAUAGGAUGGAUGCCUCUUAGGAUAUGAAGAGGCAGAAACACCAUAUUGAUUUGGAACAGCAGAAUUCCUAGCCAUUCUUCGCUGUUCAAUAGCCUCUGCAGCUGCUGCUGCAGCCCCACAAUUGUUGUAACGCAACACUGAACCAACAACUUUCCCAGGUCUAGCAGCACCUGCUGUGAAAACCACAAAGAUUCAGGCUGGCAUACAAGAAUCUUAAUGUGCUGAUACCUUGAGAAUCGACAUGCAUGAAUGUUAGAAACAUAGACACUGUGUAUAUGUUUAAAAUCCUAAAACAGAGCACCAUAUAGGUAAAUGCGUUCUAAUUAAUCUCUCUGCUCGAAAGAAAAGGCACUUUUGUUCUUCAGGAAAAAGUUUGACCAACACAGAUAACCUUUUUUUUUUUUUGUUGGUGGUAGAUAUCUUGGUUCUUGUAUGUCUUCAUGCAGGACCCAUGGUGAAUUCAAAAAGUGGCUAACAAAUGUAAAACCCUGAAACAAAUGCUAAACACCUCACCUCUUCCCACCUUUAAGCAAAAGUAUGAGCCUAGUUACAAUUCUCCAAGUGAAAUGAAAAAGGGGAAAUGAGUUAAUUGCUUUCGUAAAUGGGGGAACUGCAACAUGUUUGAAGCAUAUCAACAUAGCGCUUCGUCAAAGAAAUUUCACUAAUAAUAUGGGAAAGCAUUUUGAAAGUCUGUUUGUCCUCAUAAGGCAUGGACAAACCUUGAAUGCUUGGAGGCACUUGCAAAGGAAGUCUUGACAUAGGGAUCCCAGAAAUUCUGUCCGUAUUUGACUUCUCAACUUCUUUUAUGCAGAAUUUCGAGAGAUCAUUUGCAACUUCUGCUACAUUCUGUGUUGAGUUAUCCGAGUACAAAACACAGGGCCUGCAACCAAAGCAAGUUUUAGUUCCCCAUAGAAGCAGAAAAAAUAAAUCUGGUAACUCAAAGAAAAGCUUGAAAGCCGAGUAAAAGGAUCACAAGAAAUAUGCCAGAAGCUACCUUGGUAAGGAUGAAGCUUGCUGCCUUUCAGGAGGAGCAGCAGCUCCACCAUUCCCAUAGCGCUCCUCAAGAUAAGCAAAUUGCUUCUUGAAUUUAUCAACAGCACUGGAACAAAAUGAUAGAAAAAUCCAUCAAUCUAAUAAAUAUAGGUAAGAAAAUGUCCCUGGGAUGGUUUAGGACUAUUUCAUAGGAAAAAAAAAUUGUAAACAAGAGAAUAACCCUUUGAGUCUCAAGUUGAGUCACACAGAUAUCCUAUGGGACACUUGCGUUCUCCCAUUAAACAAUGACAUGGACCAUAGAUAAACUUCAAAAGAAUAGAUACAUGAAUGAGUAUGAGACACAAAUUCAAACUUUCGUACUAGGAAAAAGUGAAAUACAUUGGAUCCAUAAAUAGCAAUACAGCAAGCAUGAGAGUCAUAAAUAAUAUUGCUUUUCUCAUCCGACCAACCUUUUUGGGCCACUUAAACCAAAACAUUGAAUGCAAACCAAUGAAAGUACUACUCAAUGUGCCAAAUGCACCAGACUAAACAUCUUCAUGAUCUGAACUAGCAUAAAUUCAUGCCGGAGCAGUCAAACAGCAUACGUGCAGUCAUCUAAUUUUGAAACAGACAAGCAGUACUCACUUAAAAAGACAAAUUUGAAACACAAAUAAAGAAUAACAGGUUCAGAAUGGUGCGAUCAUUAUAAGCAAAUAUUUCCAUUUUUUACAUAUUCCUGCAUAGAAUAAAAUGUAUUUUCAAGCACUGAACUUAAAAUACUUAUGUUGAAACAUGCAUAGCUCUCAGGUUUAUUGAACAAAGAGAAGAACUAAAAGGGAGGUCAGGAAGCAGUAAAAUGAAGUGUGCAAGAAUGUUGCAAGAUGUUUCAAAUAUCCUCUUAAAUGCAAACAAACAGGUAUUCAACAGCAAAACCGUACAAGAGAUUUAGUUUUGAAUAUAGUACCUCGGAUACAUGAAGUUUGUUGGUUCUGUUCCCUCUAAAUACUCUUUCAACAUCUUCGGAUGAUAUUCAAGAAUCUCCCGGUAAAUUAAUUCUCUUACAUCUUCUUUUGUUAUUCUACGUCUUUCAAAUUCAAAUUCCAUUUUUGAGACAGGCUGAGCUGAAGGUUCUCUCUCAACUUUGGCCAAGUUCCUGAAAUAUGGAUCUGCAAGAGCCUGAUGGCUUGCAUGCAAUAUGCACUUUAAGAAGCUGGAGACAUAUUGACUUGCCAAGACUUGAAACAACACACUAACAGAUAAGGUGUACCUCUUCUGCAUUAGGCCGAUCUUUGGGAUCAAAAGCAAGCAUCCUUUCCAACAAACGAAGAGCAAGGGGGUCUGCAUUUGGGAACUUAUGGGAGAAAGGAACUGGUUUUUUCUUUCUCAUGCUACUUAAGUAUCUCCUGGCCUUUUCAUUUCUUAUCUGUGAGCAGAAGGUAAAUAAAAUAUAAAGAUUAAAAAAAUUAACAGUACAAUUUUGCGUAUACAAGAAAAAAAUCACAGCAAACAGACCCUAGCAAUGGCUUCAGAAGAUGGUGUUCCGAGUAGAUCAGUCAUCAGGUCCAAUUGAUGAACUACAUUUUUUCCUGGAAAUAAAGGUUUUCCAGUCAAAAGUUCUGCAAAUAUGCAACCGAUGCUCCAUAUAUCAAUAGCCGGCGUGUACUGGUAAAAGGUUGAUGAUAAACGUUUGUUAGAACAUGUGUAUGGGUACAGAGUUCCAGAGGUACUUAACAUUGACUCAGAUCAAGCAAUAUGAAGUUUAAAAUUCAGAAAUUUGCACCUUGGAGAAGAAGGAUCCACACAAUUCAGGAGCUCUAUACCAUCUCGUUGCAACAUAAUCCUAAAAGCACCAAAAAAAUAUAAAAAUAAAAACAAAAUAAAAAUAAAAAUAAAAAUAGAAAAAAAAAGAUAAAAAAGAUACAAAUUCUAAAUGCCUAAUGCAGUUCUUAUAAAGCACUAGUCCAGUGGGCAAAGAUAUCACCAAAAGGAAUAAGCAAGAACUUACUGUCCAGAAUAUCGCAGUAGGAGUAUCAUUGAAUGCCACUCUGGCUAGACCAAAGUCACAUAUCUUGAGCUUACAGUCAGCAUUAGCUAAGAUGUUCUUAGGUUUCAAAUCACGAUGGAAGACAUUAGCUGCAUCAAAGAACUAUGAUUAUCAGAUCUGGAAAUGGUCCUGUAGCCUUACCAUGUACGUAACUUAGCUAAGUGAAAAGCCUAGCUUCUUUAAUACUGUAAAUUUGUGGUUUUGUCCAAAAACCCAAAGAUAGACAUUAAAGUUGCUUUGCUAAACCAAAUAUUACCUGUGUGUAUAUACUUCAAGCCCCGAAGAAGUUGGUAUAGGAAGAAUUGGUAAUGUUCUGGCGUCAGAUCAUCAUUUGCCUUGAUGACCUGAUGUAGAUCAGAUUCCAUAAGUUCAAAUACCACAUAUAUGUCUUUGAAUUCCCUUCUAGAUGGAGGUAGCAAGAUAUGUUUAAUUUCAACAAUAUCCGGAUGACGAAGAAGCCUAAGAAGCUUUAUCUCACGAAGGAUACGUGUGGCAUCGGAGACAUGCUCAAAGAUGUCAUUUAUCUUUUUUAUUGCAACUUUUUCUCCAAGAUGUGUAUCAUAAGCAGAGCAUACAACACCAUAACUACCCUUACCAAUCACUUCCUCUAUCUUGUAUCUGCUACCCUCACCAUAUUCUGUAAAGAAAUCUACAUCUAUAGAUGCCUGCAUCAUGAAAAUUUAACAUACCGUGUCAUUGACAUCAUAUGAUACAACUGAACAGUAUACGUCGAAAAGAAAAAUUAGCAUCUAUCAAAUUCCAAAUUCAAAUUUAAAAUAAUUGUUAACUAAAAUCCCUAAAACUUGCAGCUUAGAAGUCCUAUACAGAAGAAGCAAAACAUCCACCAUCAUUAUCAAGCCAAAAUUAUAUAGUACUUAAAGAAACAGGUAUUUUACAAGUUAAAAGGUUCAGAUAGUUCGAAAUACUAGUUGACUACCAAAGCACUUUUAGAAGUAUUGAAAACUUAAAAAAAGCAAAGCCCUUUCGAAUCCCCCUAGCCCUCCCUCCGCCACCAUCCACCAUGGGCCUUAAUUAUUUCUCAAAUAGUGUUCCUCGUGAGGAGUCAUUUUACCAGGAUCAUUUGUCAACCAAUGGUGAAAUGUUAGAUAUUUGAUGCCAUAUGCAUCUCAAUUACAAAUUUCCUAGCAUUGGAACACACACUACCCACUUUUUAUAAGGCAUUAAAAAGAAAACAAUUUUAGCAAUUGCACUCCCAAAUCAGGCAAAAAUAUAACUGAGAUUUUAGAAUUUUAUUGAAUUCUUCCACUGCAAGCUUAAGGAACAAAAAAGUGAAAAUAGAAUGCAACUUACCAUAUAAACAAUUUCAAUAGUAAUAAGUCGAGGGUGGCAGGUGCCUGAGGAUGACAAGAACCCUACUAAACUCUCUAAUUGAGGUAUUCAGAGGGAUGGAACCCCAAUUUUUGUAUUGUUUGUGCUACAAAGUAAGGAGGGUAACUAUAAAGUAUAAAUAGCAAGUUGCAUUACACCGUACACUUGGAAUUUCAUUUCUAGUCAGUAAUACACCGAUACACAUGUCAAUUGUUCUGUGAUCUAAGGUGACAAGAGCAAAAAUGUCUAGCAAAUGAAAUGGGCCAAAAAAGUAGAACAACCUACAGCUACUUUCCAAUUUGUUCUAUCAUUCAAAGCCACAAAAAUCUUAUCAACGCAAUCCUAGAGUGAAAAAUACUACAAAAUGACUCCCAAUUUGAAGAAAUCAUAAGCAGGGGCUGCACUCUCAAAACUGUUUCAUCUUCUGUCACAAAACUGUAUAGUAUUGAUAAAGAAAAAAAAGCAUCAAGCAAAUCCUCUAUGUUUAAGAUCUUCUCCACAUUCCACACCAGUAUAAUUAAAUCUCUCAGAUAUGUACAUUGAAUAAAACAGAUUCUUGGAGAUUUUAUUGCUCUGGAUAAAGAAAUAGAUCUUAUAGCAUAAGCAUUUAGUAAAUAUCCGUACAUAUAGAAAAUAUAACCAGAAAUAAACAUAAAAUUUGAUUGCAAAAGAAGGGGCAAUACCUUUUUCCGCUGAUCAGCCUGCAUAUUUCAGCAGCCAAGCAUCAAACAACAACUAAAUAGAAUCACUAAGCAAAGCGUAGAUCAGAUGACAACCACAAAGAUUGACUUCCAAGCAAAGCGUUAAGCAAAAGAUCCCUUCUUUUUUCGGGGUUGGAUCAAAACAAUUGCAGAAGAAAAUAAACAGUCAAUUUAAGAAAAACCAAGAAAUAAUUAGCCAAAAUACACUCAAGUUAAAACUCCAGUGAGACUCUAGAGCUGAAAAAAAACAAUUAGCCAAACAAAAAAGAUGGGAAGAACCCCUUAACAUAAAUCCAAGAAACAGUUAAAUAACUAACUCCUGUGAGGGUAAAUGUGGGAACUUUUACUGGGUUUUCGUCAAAAUAUAAACUCGAGAUUUUGUAGAUGAAAAAAAAAAAAAAAAAAAGAUUCUUGGAAGCAGCGUAUUUGAUGAGAUAGAUGGAGACCAAGAGUAUCUUCAAAGUUUCAACUAAAAAGGGAAAAUUUUGGCGAUGAUCUCUAAUGUUUGUUUAACAAUGGGGAGAACAAGAGCCCAACUUUGUAAAAGUGUAGUCAAGUUAUAGUCUUUUUCGGAGAGAAUUGAUUCAAUAGCGCUUAGAUCUUUUUACUCUUCUAAGAGAGAUCUUUGAAAAAUGGCUGUACUUGUAUUUGUACAAGUUGGGAGAGGGAGAGGGAGAGGGGGAGGGGGAGGGAGAGAGAAACAGCGUGGAAACAUGUGCAAAUAAUUUCAUCCAUGUAAAAAUUUCCGUACUAAUAAGCCAACAAAAAUCCUAUGCUUUGUGGCAGCGAAAGGCUCACUGAAUUUUGGAACCUGGGCAUAUACCGUAGGCAGUGGUGGUACUAUACUUGGGAAAAGACAUGCUAGCCAUUCUAUUGUUUUAGACUUUUAGUUCAAAUAAUUUCCAAGGUAAAGUCAAUUGAUGAAAACCAAUUGAAGUUUGAUGUAGAGCUAAUAACAGAGUGUGCACUUCAUAGGAUUGAUUCUUUGUUCUUUUUCUUUUUGAUUGGUCUUUUCUUUCUUUCUUUCUUUUGACAUCUCAAGUAGGAUUGCUGAAAUCUUUAUUUGUUUUUCAGGAUUUAUGUUUGAUUAUUUUCUUAGAUUUGUUCAAUAUAUCCAUUAAAAAAAGAAAGAAAGAAAGAUGUUUCUUCCUUUCCAUUUUGCUUGUACUUGAAUUGCAGUCACACAAUGCUCUUAGCCUCUCUUAUCAAUACAAACUUGGAUUAAAAAAAUUAAAAAAAAAAAACUCAUCUUUGGACAUGCUCUAUUUUUGGCAAAUUAGGAAUAGUGAAAAAAAAAGAUUUCUAUUCGGAUUGCUCUAUUUUUUGAAAUUUUUUUAGAAAUAUAUAUUAUAACGAUUUGAUGUACGUGAGAUAAAAAAAUAAUUAAAAAAAUAUAUUUAUGAAAAAUAUUAAAAAAAUUUUAUUAAAAAAGACAAUAUGCAAACAUAGUCUUAAGCUUAGAGCGUGUAGGGCCGACCUCGUACGAUAAAUUUAUGCAUUAUCCGCUUGGGAGUUGAAAUUAAAUGCAUUUGGGUCGGUCGAGAAUAGGACUCGUAAAUUCCCAUGAUCCACGAAGUAGAAACUACUCCUGCUUCAUCAAUUCUACCAUCAUUAAUUAUUCUUGGUUUUGUUUUGUGUAGCACUUUCUAUUUCAUGAGUACAUAUAACAAAAGAAUUUGUUUUUUUUUUCCUUUUUGUUCAUCAACUCACAAUUGACAAAUUCGUAAAUUCAAUUUCUACUGAAUAUGCAUGUUAAUGAGACCCUUUUUCUACGGUUUUUAUGAAUAUAGUUUUUAAUUAUUUUUUUUAAUCUCACAUAAAUCAAAUCGUUACAAUAUAUAUUUCUAAGAAAAUUUCAAAAAAAUUGAGCAAUCCAAACCGGACAAUAAUUAAGCAUUCAUCUAAUUUCCAUCUAUUUAACACAUCCAACCUGCGGUUUAGUUGAAAUGCUUUUCCACAUUUGGCACUAAGCAGCGAUUAGAGAGUUGCAUGUGCAUCACAUGGGCUCUCCAAAAGUGGAUUCCGAGAUACAAUUAGAAACAAACACUAUCAUACUUUACUAGUAAUAUAGUAUGUUGCAUGACAAAGCCAACGUCAAGCUCUCCCAUCCCAUGUAGUAUUUAUCUAUGUUGCCACCAAAUUAUUACAAGAGUUCAUAUUCGUUGUUUCUUGGCCAUUAAAUAUUUUCCUUCAAAGUUGAUUUGAAUUGGAAAGAUAUCCUUUAAGCACAGAAAUUAGCCUAAAUGCCCUUAGGAGAAUAAGAUCAACUAGUCAAGUUUGAAGAUCUUAAAGAAAUUUAGCUUUGUUUGGAUUGCAUUUUUCUGAACUUUUUGUAGAAUAAUUACUGCAAAUAUUUGAUACGUGUAAGGUCAAAAGGUGAUUGGAAAAUAUGUCUACGAAAAACGUAGUAAUUUUUUUUAGAAAAUUGCAAUCCAAACACAAAAUUUCUCACAUAAUCCUUAUACUACUAUUUACGCAAUUAAUAUGUUUAAAGAAAUAUGAGACAAAUCAUGCAAAUUAAUCCUGAUUUAAACUCGAACAAUACUGAUGAAGUACUAUCAACAAUAGAUUACGAAAAUUUUUUUUAAGUAGAUUGAUUUUCUUUAUCUUUUUCCCCUCUUUUGGGGAAUGGAUAAGGCUACGUUGAUAUAUAGCUAGGAGAAAUGCAUGUGCGAUCAGUUGAUUUCAUCAUGUCAUUAACAGAGACGACGACAAUCACAUCAAUGGAUCAAUGAUGGGAAAUGCUGCGUUUUCGUUAGGAGUACAAUUUUAAGGACCACAGGAACGGUAAUGACGAGCUAGUGGCCUAGUACUAACUUUGCUUUGACAAAAUUCACGUGUUCACACCAGAACUCUAGAUAUACAAUAGUAACUGCGUGCUUAUAUUAUACUCCCUCCCUUUUUUUAUAACUGAUUUUACACGCCAAUUAAGAAAAAUUUUUUAUUGUUUAAAUCUAUACACUACUUUCCUUUUGUACCCUCAUUAAUUAUCCAAUUCACUCAUGUUUUCUCUCACUAGAGUAUUAAAUGGUGCUGUUUUACUAGGCCAAAAGCAAAGAGAGAAGUAAUAAUUACUAGGAGUAGUAAUUAAGAGCCAUGUAUUGGUAAAGAGAGAUAAAAGGGUAAAAUUGUGAAAAAAUAAUUGAUGCUGCAUGGGGAUAAUACAACGGCAGAUAAAAGUACUUAAGAGCAAAUUUCUUAAACGUCAGAUAUAAAAAAAGGGAGGGAGUAUAGUAUUAGUAUUAUCAUUAGCAGUAAUACGCACUAGUCAGUGAAUAGUAGAGCAUUACUUUGGUGCUUAAGUUAUCAACGGGAUGCAAAAUUAUGGUCUUGCGCACAUACCGAGCCAUUAAUUCCAAUUCAUGGGGUUGUCAUUUUGCUCUUAACCCUAUACCUCGUGCAGGUCUUUAAUGCAAGAUAUGAAGGCGUGAAUUUAUGAACAAAGGACGUGAAAUUUAACCCUUUUGCGGGAAAUGUUAUGAAUGAUGAAGUUGUUGAUUAGCAAGCUUAUUAAAGAAUUCCACAUCCUGCAUUGCACGCUCCCUGCAGGAGACAUACAUACAUAUAUAUAUAUAUAUAUAUAUAUAUAUAUAUUGCAAUUGGUCUUUGAAGGGAAGUAGAAUUGUCGUUUUUUGAUCGGAGAAGUCGCUCUCAAAAUCUACUUUGCAGAAAGAUAAUGAAGCAACAACUGGUGAGAAGUAUGAAAAAUGAUCAAUUUUUAUGGUGCUAUAGUCUAAUCAUCAAUUGUGUCGAGUGGGUGGGAUUCUUAAUCUGUAUUUUUGACGCUCUUUCUUGGCUGUCUCUUUAUUUGUUCAUGUUGGAAAGUGAUAGAGGGCCCUGUUGUUCAUUGAAAAUCAAAUUGAAUUGACUGCCAAUUAAUUGCACUUGAUAUUGAUUCAAAAAAGAAGGACAGUUCCGGCCGUUUGGUUUGCACAUUUUUGUAGAAAGUGCAUUAAAGUGUCCAGAGGAAAAAUUCUUUUUUUUUUGGCCCCUCCCUAAAAUUCUUGAGAAAAAAGAGUUCAAUCCCUUCACAAAAAAUAUGUUCUCUUUCCUUCGUAGUUUCUACAUAUUAUCGCCGUCUUUUUUUCCCCCUUUUUUCCAAAUGCUGCAGCAUAAAUUCGGAAGCCUUAAAGACAAUGCCUCGUACCUAUCGAAACAAACCCUAGAAACUUAUUAUCCACCAAGCCACUCUUCAUAAGUUCUUGAUCAUCGGGGGACAGCUCCCUUGAAUAUCAUCAUGGCUACGUCAAAAAUGUCCUGGAGUGAUGUGGUGUAGUUUUGUGCAUGUCCAGAACCAGAAACAACCAAGCCGCCAUCAACAGUAGCCCUUCCUAACAUCCCAGACGAAAUAAUUACCUCUAAUAUACUUCCCAUCGAGUCCUUAUUAAGAUUCAAGUGUGCGUGUAAGCUUUGGAAUUCUGUAAUAUCUGAUCCAGAAUUUUCCUUCUUGAAUCCUAGAUCCACGGCAGUUUUUAUGUCAUCGUUCGAUAUGCACAGCGAAACCUAUCUCCUAGAUCGUUUCUUGGACAGUACGUGAUGGCUCCAUCCGAUGAGAACGAGGCAAGGAUACCAUAACGAAUUUUUUGAAUUGAUAGCAGGCGCAUGUGAUGGUUUGUUGCUAAUACUUUUAGGCACUGAUUUCCUCUUGUGGAACCCUUCAACAAGGAACUACUGCACAGUUCUAGAGGUAAAGUUUAUGUAUCCAGGUGUUUUUGGAUGCAGCUAUAAUUAUGUACUCUGCGGGUUUGGUUUUGUUAUGACUCGGCUAUGGACGACUACAAAGUUGUUCUUGGGCUUAGAUGUCUAUAUUAUAACCAUUUCGAUAGUCCUGAUGAUGAGUAUGUGAUAGUAGCAGGAUUGAAGGAUAAACUCUGCAGGAAGGAGAUUAGAUUUCCUUAUCUUACAUAUGAGACCAUUAAUGGGGGUGGUUUUAUUCAAUGGUUUUCUGCACUGGAGAGUUGUUGAUAACGUUGAGGGUUGCUGCUAUUUGAGGCUCCAUUUAUCUCAUAAGAUCGUUGCUUUCGAUCCAAAGACUGAUGAAGUUCAGGAGAUUCCAAUGCCUCGGUCAAAGAACAGGCAAGAAAUCAGCAUACUUGGUCUGGGCAUUUUGUAUGACUUGCUGGGAUAAGGAAACUUGUCUAUCAGGGAAUUUUGAAGUGUUUGCAAUGAAAGAAUAUGGCAACGAAGAAUCUUGGAUUCCACUUUUUGGCAUGUGGAAUUUGGAUACGAACCUGAACCCUUGUCCGAGAACUUUGGCUCCGUUAUUGCGAAUGAGAAACGGUGAAGCACUGUUAAUGUCGAUGAAUACAAAUGCUGUUUUCAGGUAUAAUCGUAAUUAAAACCAAAACAACUUUACGCAUUUUGAAGCCAAAGGAGGUGUGAAUAAUCGAUUUUGGCAUGGUUGUGAGGCAACUGUGGCGAGUUUUGCUUCGCCUAAAGGCUACGGGUGGAAUGAAGAUCGAGCAACAUCGAGACCCACUAGAGCAAAGGCGAAUUGAAGGACAUUUAGGCCCUAAAUUGGAAGAUGAAGAUUCAAGGGACUUUGAUUCAGAAGACCAUUUAUUGGAUGAUAAUUUGGCAAUGGAUUUAACGCAAUUUGAGAAUUUCAUGAAUUACCACUUUGAGCAUUCAUUUUUCUUUAAAUAUAAUACAAGAAGCAUGCAUGCCAACUAGAGAUGUAAUCGAGCCUAUACUCGAGCUCGACUCGACUCAUAUAUCCCUAGGGUCGAGCUUGGCUCGAGCUCGAUCGAGUCAAAAAAAUUAAUACUCGAAACUCGACUCGAUGUACUCGCUCUAAGCUCGAAACUCGACUCGAUAAGGCUCGAUAACGAAGGAUAUUUUAUAAAUUCCAUAUAACUUAUAUCCAUAAUGGUCAUUUUAUAAUUAUAAUACAUAUAUAUUAUUUAAAUAACCCCGGUUCGACGAGUAGCUCGACGAGCCUCGAGCCGGGGAUUUUUGACUCGAAACUCGGCUCGAACUCGGUCAACCUGAGUUCGAGCCAAGUGCUCGCGUGCACCCCUAAUGCCAACUACAUAUAUAUCUAGGUGCUUUAAUUUGUAUCCCUUAAUUUGUUUAAUAUACCAAGUCCAAAAGUCACCAAAAGACCUCUGCAUCCAUAUAUACAAUGAAUCCUAUGCAUUCCAUUACUCACCUUUCUGUAUUAAAAAAAAAAAUAGUAAUAAUAAUAAUCAGUUCUCUUGGAUUUCUUUGAACACAUGUAGUAAUCUGUGAUCAAAGAAUGCAGCUCUGGUCAAGCAUAUCAUUUCUUUUUUUACGUGGGUCUACAUUAUCAUGAUGUUACAUCAUUAAGUACACGUUUGAUGGAACAAUUUUGAGUACAGAGAUAAGGAUGUCCUUCUAAUUUAGAUUAUUAUCUGAUGACAAUUUGCUCGGUCAAGAAAUAAGAGCGACAGUUUCUGAGUACGGAUGGGGAUCCCUCUAAUUCCGUAUCGUUGUCUAGCAAUUUGCUUUUUGAAGAAAAAAUAAAAGGAAUCAUAAUCACAAAAUGAAAAAAAAAAAAAAAAUCAAAAACCACGUAUGUAUGCUCGAGCACAGAUCAAAGGCCAACCGAUGGAGUAAUCUUUUCAUAACUUCAAACGAAAUCUCGAACACAGCAAACAUUGAAAAAUCAAAAUACAACAACAGGGAACAACGGACUUCUGAAUCCUUAAAUGGAAUAGGAUGCAACUUUUGAAGAGAGCUACUUGAGAUACUUAACCAACCAACCCAACAAAUCCUGAUGAGCCUCUUCUGCUGCCUUCACCUCUUUUUCAUCUUCAUCCUUGUACCUCACAGACCAUCCAUGAGCAACCCCAGGAAAUAUCUUCACGAAACCAUCAACCUGCAAGAAAAUCCCUGUCAACGUACGUCCUCCUCAUUUGUCAACUUUGAUAAAUCUCAAAACUUUUGAUCAACUCUGAUUUGGACAACUUGAAAUUUAAUUGCAAGAGUAGGAAAGGAUGCUAAACUAAGCAUUUCAGCUCAGUCAGUCUCUAAUGGGCUUAGGCCUUUCAAUGUACAGAUGGAACUAUUCAAACGGUUAGACAAAGAGCAAGUAUGGAAGAACUAUAGGAUGUGACAACUAAACAGAUAGCUUAUAGACAGGCGCCAGAUUUAAAAGGAUAAAAAGUAUCUUAAGUUUCUUACCUCAGGCUUAGCAUCCAAGGCCUGGCCAAAUUUUCUCAGUAGCUCUGGUGGCCCUGUGUGGUCUGUCUCAGCACCCAAUAUUGACAUUGGAACUUUGACCCCUAAAAUAUACCACAAAAAAGUUUCAUUUAUUGCAUUCAUAAAACUGAAGCCAGAAGAGCCACCAAACCUCCCAAAUCUAAAAUCCAGUAUAAUUUACUAGGAGUUCCAAACUAUAACCUGGAGAUAAUCAAGUCAAGCUACAGCAAUCACAGGUAUGCAAAAAGGAGAACUAGUUUAAAGCGACUCAAAAUAAUGGCAUGCAUUACGAAAAUGCCAGAGAAUAUAGAACUAUACAGUUCAAAUUAGGUAAAGAUGAAUAUGUCUUGAAUAAAUGCCCCAGUUUUUGAUAACCAUAUAUAAAUUGAAGAAGAAAAAGGUUAAGAACAGGUCUAUACCCUGAAUAUCUUCUAAAGUGACGAAAGCAGGGUGUAAAAUCACUGCAGCUUGGAUACAGGCAUAUGUUGCUAGUUCCACAACAACUUUUGCUGAAAAUGUAAGAACUGGUGUUAGUAAACUAAAGAAAACCAAAUUACAAUCUUUCCUAGGAACGGAGAAGCAGACUGGACACUUGGAAACAUUAAACUAGCAACUGUUGUCACUUGUCCAGAAAAAGAUCUUACCUCCCCAGCAAAAGCCUACAGCUCCAACUUUAGUGAUGCCUUUGCCUUUUAGAGCUUCAAUGACUGACUUUGCAUGCUCGAAGCCUUGAUCCUUUGCAAAAAAGAAGUUUUCUAGAUAAAUAUUUCCAAUCUAGGACUCAGAAAAAGCUUAGUAGAGUUUUAAUAUUUGAACAGGCACAGUCCUCCCACCCUUACUCAUGGAAGGUGACUUUUAAAGGUGGCACCCAAGAUUUAGAAUGAACUAUAAUAAGUGCCAAACCAGUAAGUAUUAUUCUAGCAGAUUCAGAAGGUAAUCUGAAAGCGCAAGGAAGAUUACUACCAACUUAAUAUCGACCAGAAGGAUAUGGAAAAGAAGAAAAGAGAAGGAAACUAACCAGAGAAGUGGAUCAAAAUCUGAUGGAGUUUGAAUUAUCAAUGUAUGGUGUAGAAUAAACAUUUUUGCAUUCAUUGAGUAGUCUUUUUGAGAAGCGGUAUUACCAGAGAAGCAUUUCAGUCCACUCUGUUCUUUACUGGCACAAGUCUGCCAUUCUAAAUACAUACGAAGAUACUAAACUGAAUCCUAGAUUCAAGACAUAAACCUCAGAUCUUCAUUCAGCUUUGUUGUCCGGGAAUUUAACUCAGUCAAACAUCAUUCGGUCUAUAAUAGCCAACUAAAGAUAGGUAUAAUAAAAUGCCCAAAUCAAGAAAACUAGAUUGAUGUACAUGAAAACUCCUGACGCAAAAGAGGUUUCUUGUUUUUCUUUUAAUUGUCAACUUUGAUGAAUGAAAUGCACAAACAAGAGCUGGGCACUAAUCAUAAAAGUAAAUUUAAACCUCAUGGAAUUCUAAAUUAUCAAUGUAUGACGCAUGCACCACAAGUUGCACUCAUACACUAGUACAUUUGUGUAAAGGUAUUACCUUCAGUUUAACUCCAUUCUUUACGGGCACAAAUCUGCCAUUCAAAAGUCAUACUGAUUGACUUAAGUGAAUGUUGAUGUUCAAGAUAUUAACCUCUGACCUUCAUUCACACUAGUUAUCUAAAUUAUUGAACAUUGCCAAAUGUUCUUCAGUCUAAAAUAGCCAAGAUAAGUGUAAGAACCCCCAAAUCAAAACAACAAAAGUGUAAUGUUGAUAAUAUUUCCUGUGCAGAAGACUUGUGGCAAAUCCAACUCUCAUGAAUGAAAUGUUCCAACCAUAACUGGGCUAUCCCAGAUGAAUGCAAUGUAGAAAAUAUAGCAAAAGGAAAGUCAUGAGCUAUACUUUAGCUUUUAAGAGUGCCAAUGGCAAAAUAGCUUUGACUGGUUCAAUAUUUGAUCCCACAAAUCAGAAUAAAAAGACAAACCCGCCGUUCAGGAAGCACCAGCAUGAAGUCUGAGAUCUAAAAUAAUUAAUUUAUGUAAAAUCUUGGCAUGGUUCAAACUGGAGAGAAAAACAGAACUCCCGAUAUGGUAAAAGGAAAUUAUAGCAUCCAAUGCAGAGAUUAAUCACUGUAGUCACCUCCAGCUAUCGAAUUCAGCAAAAAAACAGUGAUUAGGCUGUUACUAAGAAGAAGGCUUACAGGUCCAUGUUUCUUCAGCCAAGCAUCAAGAUCAGUCCCCUCUAACACUAGUACAGGAUCUCCGAAAAAAAAAUCUGGAACUACAACAAAAAAUCCAGCCCCUGCAACUUUGUCUGCAAGCUUCCUUCACAGUUGAAAAUAUAAUACAAUAGUUUAGAAAUCACAUAUUACUACAUAUUACUUUUUACUGCAUAGGAUUACUCUAUAUACAGGACUGCAGCUCAGUAGCUUUAGUUGAUAAGCGACAGCUUAGUAGCAUGUACAUAAACUACAUUAGAACUGUAUGAUGCCAAAAGAAGUAGAACAACACAAAUGCUGCUGGUAUGUUUAUAUUUAAGCCAGGAACUUCAGAUGCUGUUUAUCCUCUUAUAGACACAGAAAAUGGUGUCCCAGCUUCAUCUUUUUUCUAAAUAAUGGAGGAAACAAGAUGGAAAACAUACAUGAGCGUGACUCUUAAAGUCAGAUUAUGUAUUAGACACAAGCUUGCUUUUCAUUUCAUGUGAAUGGAAGCCCAGCCUAAGGAAAAAAGGCAACAAAGAAAUAAAAACACUCCAACACCCCCCCCCCCCCCAGUUUCCUCCCAGGACAAGAAGAAGAAAACCAACCAAAAACUAGAAGAAUCCUAAAGGGAAGAGGUUCUUAAAUCUCAUACCUCAACUUUGGAGCUUCAUAUCCUGCACAAAAUGAACCAUGAGUUAAAAAUUUGCCUUCCGCUGGAGGUUAUGAUUUCAAGGUCACAAUAGAGAAGCCAAAAUUUUUCAGCUCUGAUGCCAGGGGAACAGGAUGCACAGAUAAUGCACAUAUAAUACAUAUCCAAAAUUCUGGAUCCAAGAUAACUACAUGAGUACCUUUAACAAUAAAGUGCCUAGUAAAAGUAGCUUCCACUACAAACAAAAGGAAGGUAAAAAGACAAGAAAUCAUAUAACUCCGAGGGAGGGUACUUUGUUCUGCAAUUUCUUGACCCUUGCUAAUAAUCAGUAUGUAAAAACAAGAUAUGAUGAUUGACAAAACAGUAAGAUAUUAACAAAAAACUAACACCCGACCACGUUCACACUUUCAGACGCUAACAAAAGAAACCAUAAACGUACAAAUUUGGAUAAGACCAAAUAAUUUAUCCAACAAACUACGGACUAAAUAGAACGAAAGAUUGCAACUCUCAAAAUCCCAGAUAAGUUUUGGAGGGAAAAGCAUACCAAAAACAUCAGAGACAAGCAAAACAGCAAUCUCGGAAUCAGCAGACCCAGUAACGUAAGAUUGGAGGCCUCCAAGUUCUUCCACAUGCCCAGCUCCAGAACCGGAGCUCAAGCUUGGUGCAUUUUCACAGCACUGUGGACCUGACAUCCCUUGUUCUCAGAAGAUUUCCAAAUAGUACAGUAAUGCUUAAUUGGAGCAAGAACGUACUAGAGGAGUAUCAAAAUGUCUAUUUAUCAUACUUAGUAGUUGCUGGCAAACGUGGAAUAUGCCGACAAAGAAAUUGAAUUCUGUACGCAAGUUCUCUCACUCAAAGUCGAGCAUGAUAUGGACCACUUAGAUGAUAUCUUGAGGAAUUAAUUACAGAGUUUUGUGUGGUUGGAUUGAAGAUAAGUUGAACAAAGAAUUAUUUAAUAAUUUUUUUUUGUGAGGUAAUAUAUGUGAAAUAGAAGAAUGAUUAGAACAAUAAAAAAUGUGGUGGGAAAAUGAAUUUGCAAAAUCUCCAAACCUUUUUCCAAACUGUUCUUGUCCAAAAAUAGUUCUUGAAAAUUUUAUAGAUAAUUAGCUCAAGAUUUAGUUCUGUUAAUAGCUACAUUAACCAUUUCAAUUCUAUAUUUGAUCAAAGGAUAGAAAUUUAUUUGAUGUUUUGAGAUGGCAACCCCGUGGAACGAGCUCCCUUUAUCGGACAAUGACAAAACUUGCAAGACAAUAAUGACACCGAGGAAGAGAGAUUGCAGUCCUUAUUAUAUCGCCAUCGCCACAAAAGUCAAGACCAAUUAAUAAUCAACAAGGAAACGGGCUAUUUUUGUCGGGAAAAAAAAAAAAAAAAUCUCCGUGUCUUGUUUCUAUUGCCUAGUCCUGCAGUGAUACCUUUCCGCAACCCUUUCAUCGGUAUGAGGUGUUCCAAUGCUGAGAUCAUUCAGGAUAGGAUAAACUAACCCAACAUCCAGAAUGAUUGGCAACUACCAUUCCUGAAUGAUUGACAAGAAGGUAAGGUCCUGCAUGCAGGUAUCUAGCACAGUUGCCAAGGAAUGGAUUUUUUUUUUUCCGCAUGUCUUUUCUCUUGUUCAGUUGUUGAAUAAAUAUGACAUUCAGCCCAUUGUGUGCUUUGACAAGAAAGCAAAUACCAGCUAAAAUCAACAUACAAAUAUAUUUGUCGGAUCCAACUAAUCAUUAAUAAGCACGGUUGCUAUGGUCAGGCUUGACGGGAAAGAAGGGUCCGUUAUAAUCAACUAUUAUAGAGUGUGUUUGGAUAAUAAAUUAUUUGAGAUAAUUUUGUAAAAAAAUAUUGUUAUACUUUCUUUACGUGAUGUACGUGAGAUGAAAAUAUAAUUAAAAAAUGUGUUGAUGAUGCAAGUAAAUCAGUGUGUGUAAAUAAGACAGAAAUAAAUGUGUAAUCCAAACACACUCCAGUAAUAUGUUUCUGAGUCGCAACUUUUUGAGACAGAACUUUCUCCGGCAACAGCUACCCUGGUUGACACUCCAGACUCCAGUAAAGAAGGCGUCAGCCGGGAAAAAAAAAUUACCUGCUCUUGCAAUGAUGACCUUGCAGCAGACUUUGUUUUAUUACUCGGAUGAAUCUUAGACAAUUGAUAUAUGAAUUGUACUCAUCAAACAGUUUAAGAUUGGUGUGUUCAGCUGUCUCAAACCACUUUGUCAUAUGCCAACGAAACAUUGAAAAAAUAUAGCAAUGUUUGUGUCCAACAAAUAAAUAAUUCUCCAUGUACCAUCAAAAUUACACAAGAAAGGGUCACUCGAGAUUGUUUUCUUGAAAAUUGCAUCAGCCAUUACGUGAGAGGGAUCAAUGUGUUUAAUUGGUGCGUCUGGAUUAGCUUUUUUUUUUUUUUUUUGGCAAAUAAAAUUUAUUUAUCUGUAUCGCAAAUGGCUUUUGUGUCUGCUUGAUUAGCGUGUUUAAUUGGUGCAUUUGGAUUAGCUUUCUUGGCGAAUAAAAAUUAUUUAUUUGCAUCACAAACACGUUUUUCAAUUACCUUUUCAUCUUUCCAACGAUCCUUUUAUGUUAUAUACAUUGUAUCAUGAAAAAUUGUUAUAGUAAUCGUUCCAAAUAAUCUCCGAUCCAAAUCCAAAUUUUACGCUACUUGAUAGCGGGACAGAGAUGAUUCCUUUGACAUAAAGUUCAGUUCAUGUGGGAGAAAUUCAGAAUAAUCUGAAUUGUUUGGAUUGGGUGCGAAAACUGGGAAAGAAUAGCUGAUUUCUUGCUGCUCAAAACUUAAUAGCCAAUUCAUGUUUCAACAUGCUUGCCAAUGCAGAUGAAAGUCGCGUGAUUUCAGUGCAUCUGUAAGAACAGGAGCUGUUGUCCCAAUGCUACAUUUGAGUUAAUUUGUUAGGAAGUUUUCAUUCUCAAAAGUAAGGCCACAAUAGCUCAAGUUGCACAUUCCACUCAGGUGAAAACUCCCUCAAUUGUAUCCGAGAAGAUCAAGGAAUUAAUUUCUUAGUCACCACUUUCCGCCCAUCUAGAAAAGGUCAGUGUAUGAUCUUUGUAGUGUUCAAAGACUCUCAUUUCACAAGGAAAAAUAGUGCCAGCAACCCUUAAUUCGUAAAAGGCUAAAGCAAAAUACAGAUUCUGCCCAGGGAAAAGCAAUAAGUAUACAGAAGAGUCAUCCAAACAAGUAAAAGGAUUUUAUCAAGAUUCUUUGUUGUGAGUGGAUCGCAGAUGACUAGAAAGGUCACACAUAAAUUUAUGGAAAAUUAGAGUAUUACCAAUUUCUGCAUAUAUAAUUCUAGGAUCCACAUACAAGACAUGUGGAAUCAUCCAUGCGAGUUGCAGUACAUGUAGUAACAUAAAGCACAGUUCUGACUUGUUAUUCAAAUAAGGCACAAGAAGAUACACCAAUUCUGAAUUUUUAUUCAAACAAGCCAUGGUGAAAUGCACCAUUACCUUGAGCAUUCCAGCCUUCAGAGGCAUGAUAAUUCGUACUUUGAUUCGACUGGAAAUCAUUAUUCCUUUUUUUGUCUGUUCACUCUAAUUGACAUGCUUGGUAAGCCAGUUCAACAUGUCUGAGUGAGCUUCUUUUGCCAUCUUAACAGCGAAUUCAUCGUCGUCGCUGUACUGUAGUGUCCAUCCAUGCUUUACGCCAGGGUAUAUCUUCAAGAAGUUAUUGACCUGUUAAACAACCAAAGGAGUUUGUCCUAAGGAUCUUUGCAGCGCAUUCUGUAGCUUCAACAAGCCAUCAGGUUAAGAGUUAUUCGCCAUAAAUUUGCUUGAAGCAUAAUGAAUCAUGAAUGGCUCUAGAAUAAAAAUUUACAGAGAUUUUUAGGAGUUAGUAGAUUCUGAAGACGUGAGUUAUUGAACCUAUUGAGCAGCAGUAGAGGAGUUCAAGUUUCAAACCUCAGGUUUUUCAGUUAAAAUGCCAUUCAACUUAGUCAAAAGCUCAGGUGGACAUAAAUGAUCCGUCUCAGCUCCAAGUAAAGCAAUUGGAACCUUAACUUCUGCAAUGACAAAUAAUCUAUUCAAUCAAUUGGAGUAUAGGGGACUGUAUUUCCUUCACAGUGACAUAUCAAGGAAAUCAAACUUGAUAAUUGCAACAACGAACCACGAAUGUCAUCCUCAGUGAUCGGACCAGGAUGCAGUAUAACUGCAACCUGAAUACUAUCAUAUCUUGCUAGUUUCACAACAGUCAUUCCUGAAAUAAGAGCAGAAUGUACACACAGCAGGCAACCAAUUAGCUCCAGUAAUUUGCUAUAUGAAAGGUUGAAAACUGCAGCUAUCUCAAUAAACAUUAAAGAUGCCUUACCACCCCAGCAAAACCCUGCUACCCCUAUAGUAGAAACUCCUUUGCUCUUCAGAGCAGCAAUUACUGCCAUAGCAUCCUCACACCCUUUGUCCUUUAAGAAACAAAAAACACAUAAAUUUGAACUAGAUACUCAAUAAUCCAAAGAUAUCAAUAUGUUAGUUUGUCCUUCAGUAUCUUUAAAAAAAGUUCAGUCCCCUUAAAUUUCAGAAAAUAUCCUCUUGCUAUUCAAUUGUCAUUGUGUCAGAGCUAGUUUUUUAGGAAAAUGAAAAUUCUGAAUAUUGUUGUUACAAAUGAUAGGCAUCCAUUGAGAUUGCUACAGCUCAACUUCAAUAACAGAAAGAAUCACAACAUACUGCAGGAUGAGUCCUCAGCCAUUCAGCACGAUCCCUUAUGCUAUCAAUAGGAUCCCCACGGAAGAAAUCAGGAACCACUACCAAGAAUCCAGUUUCUUCUGCAACAUUUUCUGCAAGCCUCCUUCAUAAUAGGAAAAACCAAAACCCAAUAACAUUAAAUGUCUAAUCAUUCAAGACAGUUUCCAGGAAUAAAAGAUCAACCUAGUGGUCCUCAAAAGAAGGAAACCUAACAACUAGACGUAAAACUAACAAGGAUUGUCUCCGAUGCUGGAUUCCUACAAAUCAUGCUGUUUAGUCAACUCAAAAUUACUUUAAGAGAGAAAUCUUGCCGUAUAUAUCGUUUAUGCUCAACCAACAGGAGUGGCUGGUUGACUCAAGCUUUUGCUAUGCCACCCAAAGAAAGAAAGACGUGCACAAGUGUAAAUAUGAUUGAAGUACCACGAGGUUAUUGCUUUGCAUCAAUCUUCCGAUAUGUGCUUUUUUCUUUUUUCAUAUCUAUUUUCAAUCUCUCUUUCUUAACCUAUUCUCUGCAUUUACUAAAUUCUGGAUAUAUACCAAUUUCAAGGCGCCAUUGAUGUCACGAAGGGCCUCAAAUUUCAUCUUUUUCUGUAAUUCCCAAAAUUUCUUGGGAUAUUUUCUCAGAACCAUAACAAAUUCAUAAACAGAAAAUUGGGACUUACCUUAUCUUUGGACCUUCAUAUCCUGCAAUUGAUCACAUCAAGCAAGAUAAGCGAUACUAACAUACAGAAAAUAUGUGCUUUUUUUUUUUCCCAAGAAAUUGACUCUUUAAUAAAUUUAAACAAAAAACUUAAAAAACAAAAACCUAACACCUCCUGAUCAUCCAUAGUUUGAAAAUCCCUCUUAAUUAACAUAUCAGACUUUCAAGAAGAUGAUCAAUUGGGAUUUCGCCAUGCUCAAUUUUGGUGGUGGUUUCAUUUCCAAGAUUCAGAAUAACAAAUACACUUCAACAAGGAAUAAUUUUGUCAAUCCUUUCCAGCAACAACUUCCUAAUCUUAACUAGCGAUAAUUUAGCAGAAACCUACACCUUUCCUGAACUUCAAAGCACUGCAAUCAACCUCUAACCGAAAAAAAAAACACAACUAAGAACGAAAAAGCAGAAAAAUAUAAAUGUGCUCGUUUACCAUAAGCAUCAGAUAGGAGGAUGAUAGCAGUUUUAGAAUCACGGGGUCCAGCGAUAUAUGUUUGAAGGCCACCAAGCUCUUCUACAGUUGCUGCUUCAUACUUAGCAGAGCUAAGCUUUGAUGGUGGGUUCUCAGAGGCUUGGGCGGCUCCUGACAUCUUUUUGCUUGUUUUCUAAUUCUUCCUGCUCGCUACUGAUCAAUGCGUAGUUUUCCACAAAUUUGUAGACUUCCUAUGUUGCUUCCAUGGCAGUCUUCCAGUCCACUCCUCUUCUGUUUUCCACGAUAUGUCCGUUGACGGGUUGACUAAAGGUUCCUUUUUUUUGUUUGGAACAUGGAACUAUGAUGGAAGUGCCUAAGCGAUUCGGCUUUCUGGAUUGGGCCUUAAGCAACAAUAAUAGUGCCCACGUAUGUACUUACGUAAUUCACGACGUGUAGGGUGUUAUGAGGCCUUUUUUUUUUUUUUUUUUUUUUUUUAAACUGAAUUGAACCAGACGGAUACAGCACGCACCAAUAUGGAUUUAGAACAAUCUUGAUAUAGAGACGCGUUGAUGAGAGACAAGAUUCGAUCACCCCAUAAUUAAUGUGGUGACCAACUCCUUUAAAGGGAGUUGGUUGUAUAAUGAGGUUAAAGACGAGAAAAGUUAGGCCCCCUUUGAAUUGCGACUUUUUUCAUAAGUUAUUUUUGAAAUAUUUAUUUGACACAUUUUUAAACUAUUUUUCUAUGUCAUAUACAUUAUAUUAUUAUAUUAAGUUUUUUUAAUAAAAACUCUUAAAAAUUACAAAUGAAAUGGGCUUUUAGCUUUUUUGUGGGCAUGGCAUUAGUGGAAUAAAUUUGUGCAUGUAAAAGUUUUGGCAUUGAUUCUAUACUUCAGUUAGUGUUUGGAUUGUAACUUUCUACCAAAUAUUCUUAUGUUAUUUUCCUAAACAUAUUUUCUAACUAUUUUUUUUAUCUCACAUACUUCAAAUGAAUGCAUUACAGUUUUCUAUAAAAACUUUAAAAAUAGCAAUUCAAACGGGAAUAUUUCUUUGGUCCUAAAUUCCAUGCUUUGUCACAUCCAUCAGGGUUAGAUUCGUGUCUGCAAAAGGAUUUGGGCUAUGCACAGAAAAGUCAUUGGAAAUUUUAUUUUUUUUUUCAGAGGUGUACCAUGUUUACCCAUGAGAUAUUCAGAUUUCUUUGCAUAAAUAACCAAACGAAAAGACGAGCACCCUACAAAGGACUUGUAAGCCAGUAUUCGUGUGCCGAAGGUGUGGGCCUGGAUACUGGAGAUCCGUUACUCAUUAUUACGGACCCUUGAAACUAACCCACAUGUAUUACACCCAAACUCUGCAAGUAAAUUUGGGCCAAAUCUAAUGCAAAUAUUGGGCUCCAAGGCACCCAAAGAACAGGGCCGACUCACUUUAUACCUCUCUUUUAUUCGAAAACGGCACCGUUUCGCGAUGCCUGUUCGUGCAGAUUGCAGAGAACUUGAACCAAAAGCCACCAUUAAAUUUAAAAAAUAAAAAAAUGAGAAGGGAAAAUUUUCUUCUGGAUUUGACUUGAUUGGGCUAUAUAUAACCAGGUUCGUCUGUUUCUUCCGGGAGGGGUUUUUGUAGGGUUUCUCUCAUUCUUUGUUUCUUACAAAACCCACUCAUUUGUUUCUCGAUGCCCAUGUGAAUUUUAUUUUUAUGCUAUAGGGAUAGGGGAGAAGAGCAAGAAGAAAAAUGGGUUCUUUGAGGAAUUGUACAGGGGCAAGUCUUGUGGACGAGGAGGAAGAAGAGGAACCCAUAUUGACGGAGCAAUCUCAAAGAUUCUGCAUGUUCCCCAUUAAAUACCCUCAACUUUGGGAAAUGUACAAGAAGGCUGAAGCCAGUUUUUGGACAGGUUAUAUUACUAAUAUGCUCCUAAUACAUGCAUUGAAUAUAAAACCAGUACUGUAAUUUAUGUGCACAUGGGUUCUGUCAUUCAUAUAUAUACUUCUGGUAAUUUUAAAAUAUGGGUUGGUGUGAUUUUUUAUCUUCAUCGUGGAAGAAUGGAGUUAUGAGUGUUUAAAUGGGUUCAGCUCACGAAUCAAGAUUGAUUUUUUUUGGUUAUUAUGGGACUUGUGCAGUUGUUUUAUUGGAUGCUCUGUUAUAGUAGGUACAUUAAGGGUGGUUUUCUAGAAAGUUUUAUGCUUUAUGGGUUUUUUAGUUCUUGAAAAAGGAACUUGGGUUAAAAUUGCUACUAUAUUUUUGCUAAAAGGAGUAAAAGAAGUUCAGUGAAAAGUAGAAAGAUGAUUAGUUGUGCAGUAAUAUGUAAUUAUGUGGGUUAUUUUCGUGAUGAUUGACAAAGUUAUUGGGGCUUAUUGGAUGUUCUCGGGCUUAGUUUGUGGUAGGACAACCCCUACCCUACCGUCAGAAGCUGAAGUACCUGUUUGAUUUGAUAAAAGCAAAAGCAGAAGCUUUUUGCUCAGCACCCAUAUUCGCUAGGCAAAGGAAAACAAAUGUUAUUGGGGUUGUUGAAAGAAGAUUAUGACUGUUGAUGCACGUGGAAUAUCUUGCAACAUGAAGUUUGUGUUUCACUAUGUCCAAUGAGAUAUAUAUAUGCUGUAUUGUAAACGGUACUAAAUUUAAUUAGAGAGCUAGUAAUGGGCAUAACUCAAGUCAAAUGACUUGGCUGCUCUAGCGUUGCUUAAUGGUUUUAAAAAUUUAUAAAAUUAACAAAGGAAAAAGAAGCUCAGUUGAGCAAUUCUAGGUCAUUUGGCAUUUUUAAACUUUAUUAGCAACUAAUUACCAUGGUCUAAUAGCAGUGAAGAGGGCAAAUUUAGAUGAUCCUUAGGUGGCUCUAGUCGAUGUGGGAAGAGAUACAAGCUUUCAAGGUAUAAAUUCAUGAUUUGCUAUGUUGACAUAUCAAGAGUUUUGUGAAAGAAUUGCUUUUGAUGCUUAAUGCUUCUAAGAUUUAAAGGUCUUAUUUGUCAAUGUCAGUGUUUCUAGUGUCGUAGUGAAGCACUGCUAUCAACUCUAACCUUUGUGCUCAAACCAGAAACUGUUGCUUUUGAAUAGCUUUUAUGGCUUUCAGUCAAUAUAAGCGGAUUAUAAAUUUUGUUUAACGUGUACUCGGGGUCAGUUUCUCUUUCCUUGGUUGUGAACUAAGUUAUAACCUGAUUUUUAUUUUUUGGUUCAUUUUCUCUUUUCAGUGAAAAGUUUGUUGAUGCACGUUUGCUCUUUUAAAUGUUCUAACAUUGAUGUCUGGGAUUCAGCCGAAGAGGUCGAUCUUUCUCUGGAUGUGCAGCACUGGGAAACAUUAUCUCAUUCUGAAAAGCACUUUAUAAGCCAUGUACUGGCUUUUUUUGCUGCAUCAGAUGGGAUCGUUCUGGAAAAUUUGGCUGCUAGGUUCUUGAAAGAUGUUCAAAUUCCAGAGGUAGAUAAUCUAAGCCCUUACCAUCAAUCCAUUCAAGAAGCAAAAGUAAUAAGUGGAAAUUGGAACUUUCUGUUAUUUAGAUUGUUACUUUCUGGACUUGCAAUAUGCUUGCUGUGUACAAUAAGUGCUGGGUGCAACAAUGGCCUAGGUUUCUCAUAAUCAAAUGCAUUCUGUACUUUUCUUGGCAUUUUCUGAGCUUUAUGCUGCCAAACAAAGUGGAAAAGGAAUACCCGUUUUGCUUCCUUCCCUUUAUUUAAGUGAUUACCAAAUUUAAUUGGAUUUUUCAAUGUGUUUGAUUAAGAUGACUGACACUGACAUGGAUUCUUGUUAUUGUUUUCAGGCUCGUGCAUUUUAUGGCUUUCAAAUUGCCAUUGAGAAUAUACAUUCUGGUAUUUAUUUGCAAGUGAAGAACAUUGUGAUGCAAUUAACAUGCAUGAGGUCUCUAUUGUGAUAUUCUCCUUCUGUUUGUAGAGAUGUACAGCUUGCUUUUGGAAACGUACAUCAAAGACUCCAGAGAGAAGAAUAGAUUGUUUAAUGCCAUGGAAACUGUUCCUUGUGUUGCUAAAAAGGCCAAGUGGGCUUUGAAUUGGAUUCAGAGGUAAUUUAUCAUCUUUCUCAACCUUGAACUAGAUUCUAAGUUAUCAAAUUUGUGCACUCUUUUCUCUAACUCUUUUCUCCAAUUGAUCUAUUGGAGGAAAAUGAAAAGGGAUAUUGUGAUGUUUACCCCUUUUAUGGAAUAUAGAGAAGACUGAACGAAGCCUGUAUUUGCUUGUCAGAUUAAUGGCUAACACAUGCAUGUUAGAUACAAGCUAUUCAGUUGCAAUGCCUUUAUAAGUCUCUUUGCUUGUUAUUACUUUUAGCUUAGAAAUGUUUGAUUUCUCCAUGUCUUCACUUUUUUUUUUCUUCUUGUUUUUGAGGUAAAUUCAUGCACAUGGUCUCCCCGUUCUUUUUGUGGCUAAGUAGCUGAAGGUUGCACAGGAGGCUGAGAUUAAGGGAAAGGAUGCUAUUACAAAUCUUUCCAAUCCAAUUAAUAUUACUUUUUUACCUUUAGUUUAUCCUCUUACUACUACUAUGCUUCCUGCUUCUUCCUCUGUCAUCACACGUAAACUGAAUAAUUGUCGAAGCUUUUAAAGUUGAACUAGAUGGUUGUCAGUGUAGCACAAUGUUUAUGCUAUCGAUGUAGAGAAGUGGUGAUUUUGUUGACAUUGGAACCAAAAGCUUAUGUAUGUCCAAAAUGACAGGAAAACUUCUCUUCUAGAAAACAGCUUCUUGCUUUUGCCUUCUUAUGGGGAUCAUACAUUGACAAUGGUUGUUAGAAAUGGGAACAUCGUUCUUGGUUUAAUGCUUUUGUUUUGCUUUUUUAUUCUUCUAGGUUGUUUAACAUAAUGUUGGAAUAGAGUACGUUCACAACUGCAGUUUGUCUUUCUGCCCGAACAGCUCCUCAUUGUACUUAUCUGCUCGUGCAGUUCACGCUCAUUUGCAGAGAGACUUGUAGCUUUUGCUUGUGUUGAGGGAAUAUUCUUCUCAGGGAGGUACGUUUUGAUUAACACUCUACUGGUACUUUUUCUCAUGGAAACUGGAUUUGGCAAUUUUGAAAUGUAUUUUGAGAUUAGCUUCAUUUUUUUUCUGUUCCUCAGCUUUUGUGCUAUCUUUUGGCUUAAAAAGAGGGCAUUGAUGCCUGGCUUGACAUUCUCAAAUGAGCUUAUCUCAAGAGACGAGGGUCUUCACUGUGAUUUUGCUUGCCUUUUAUACAGGUUGGUCAUCAUUUAUUUCAUUCUUUGGUCUUUUAUUGGAUUCAAGAAUUAAAACUCUUUAGAGUAAUAUUGCAUAGACAAAUCAUGAAUAGGUAAUAGUUUCAGGAUCACUCCCUAUUUUUGUAGCCUUUUGGCACACAUAUUUGACUCUUUUGGGUGGGAAGCUGCUUGUUGUAUGCCAAGAUGAGUCAUUUCUAACCUGUAUGUACAGUUUGUUGCAGAAGCAAGUACAAUGGCAAAAGGUUCAUCAAAUUGUCCAUGAGGCUGUUGAAAUAGAGAUUGAGUUUGUAUGUGAUGCUCUUCCUUGUGCAUUAAUUGGCAUGAAUGCUGCACUAAUGAGCCAAUACAUCAAAUUUGUUGCUGAUCGCCUAUUGGUAGGUCGUUUUCUCUUUUACCCUUAGAAUAGCAAAGAGGAAUGUUGAUUCUGAAAGAUCUCCAUUUUUUUCAAUUUUUCGGCUUUACAGGUUUCAUUAGGGUGCCAGAAAAUGUACGAUGUAGAAAACCCCUUUGACUGGAUGGAGUUUAUUUCCUUGCAGUAAGUAUAGCACAUGAAUGAAUAUCUUUCACUCCUGUUUACACUUUAUCGAGAGUUAGAAGAAACUCAAUGACGAGUUUUUUAUACUCAACUGCCUAUGUUCAUUUUUUCACAUCUGGUGUUUUUGGGUGGUUAGCGUCUGGACCACUGGUUCUAAUGUGCUCAUGGUUCUAGAAGGAUUCUGAUCACUAGGAUCUCGUCCUAGGCUGAUUUUUAACUUGAAUAGAGUACGGCCAACAAUCUUUUUUUCCUUAGCUGAACUGAAUACUAUAAAGCAUACAAAUAAUUUUCAAUUCCACAUUUUUCAUUGCCAGCUGAUGUCACAGAUAGGUACUGGUUUUGCAAGCAAUAGGUUUAUGUCAUGCCUUGUAUAGCUUCUCCUCAAAUAUUCUUUCUUGCAUAGCAUUCUUGAUAUAAUCUAACAUGAAAAUUGGUAGUUUAUUUUGAGACUCGGAUCAUUUAGAACAUGACAAUGCCAAUUGUUUUCUUAGGUGUGUAGAGGUUAUUCCAUUUCACUUAUAUGCCCCAUAUGCAUCUGAUGCAUGCUUGAGAUUUUUGGUCUCCUAUUGAUGGUGGGCACUCAAGCCUUAUACUGUUGAGGCUGAAUUUUUUUUCUGCUUUAACAGAGGAAAAGCAAACUUCUUUGAGAGAAGGGUGGGUGAUUAUCAGAAGGCUUCUGUUAUGUCAAGCUUGCAAGAUGGUUCAAAGAACUUUGAAUUCAAACUUGAUGAGGACUUCUAGUGUUUCAUCUGUCUCUAUUCCAACAAAUAUUGCCUCGACUGUGUUGAAGUUUGUGAAAAUUCUUUAAAAAGUGAAGUUUAUAGUACAUAUCAUUAUCAGUCCAUUUAUGGCAUUUGUUUGCCUCUAGAAUUAGUGCAAGGAAUUGGGAUUUCACUGUCAAGCUUGGGAUUUUUGUAAUCACAUUGAGCUGUCCUCCAAACUUGUUACUGUGCCUCUUUUGCGUAGCAUCCUUCUGAGGCACAGGAAGAUGCCUUAGAUUUUAAUAUAUUGCUUAGAUUUAAAUAUAUUGUUUAUGUGUUCUUUAGGUUAAAUGGCUCCAUCAUGAUUUUGUUUGCUCUUCACGUCCACCCUUUUUUUUUGUUGCUUUUUUAUCCAUAUCAUCAUGAAUAUUCGGUGGACAAAAUAUCGACAUGGACGUCCUGCCUUUUAUCUUCUUUAUAAGCAUACACAGUAGUUUCAGUUAAUGGGCUUGGUGCUCCUGCUGCUUAUGUAAUCUCCAUGCCUUUUUUGUACCUAGCAUGUUCUAUAUAUAGAUGGAUUUUUGCAUCAGAUGGUGUUGUUGAACCGUUGGCAAAUAAUAGAAUGGCAUUAAGGCACUAUGAAUGGUAAUGAAAAUGACUCUUCGAUGCUUCCACUGAGCAUCCAUUAUUAGGUGUCUGUCCACUAGAUUAGUGCAUCUCAAAGCUGCAAAAUUUGAUUCUGUCAUGUAAAAAAUGGACUGAGUUGGUCUUUUUUUUUUUUUUAUUUUAUUUUAUUAAUUUGUGUUGGGACUGAAGAACUGCAGUUUUUCCAGAAAGUGGGUAGUGGAUAAGUUAUCUUCAUGCAGCGACUACUUGCCCCCCCUUACAUCACAUCAACCGGAUGUGAAAUAUGGUAGUUACAACCAGAUGUGCAAUAUGAUCGUUACAAAGUAUGAGGAAGUCAGCAUAUUGUUGGGGAAGGUUCUUUCUUCUUUUUUUUUUUGUUGUUGUUGGUUGUCAUGGUUUAGUUUUGACAAUUAUCCUCUGAUAAAAUGGGGUGGUUAAAAUAUAUAUAACUUGAUCAUGUUUUUCAACUCGAUCAACUUGGCAUUGUUCCUUUUUGAAUCGUGGAUGCUCUUUUCCUCGUAGCUCCACUGAGGUGGUUGAUUGAGGUGGAGCUGGCAUGGCUUCCUUGGUCGAUGUAGGUAGAGUGACAUUGUCAAACUUGGGGCCCUGCCCCCCUAUUGGUCUCUUUUGAUCCACUAAAAACUACUCAUUAACCACCGCAAACACAAGAACUCAAAUCUAUAUAUAUAUACUUAUGCCGUAGCAGAAAAGGAUUAAGCGGCAGUUUUCUAUUGUUGGGAGCGCCUUGAGGCAACUACAGUUCAUUCUCAAUCAUGUUUGCUUGCCUUGGCCGUCUCGGCUGUGAAUGGGGGGAUAUCCAGAUUUUUUUUUUUUUGUUUUGUUGUAUCAAACACGAAAAUCCCUGCAAACUAAGCAAAAUUCCUAAACAAGGGCAAUCUGCUUUUCAAUCUUAAUCAGGGUUUAAGUGCUGCUGUAUAAUGUUAAGGGUUAAAAAAGUAGUAGGUAAGAGGUUGCUAACUUUUUAUUCCUAUCCUUUCCAUUUCUUUUCAACCUCCUCUACUUGCUCUCUUUAUCCAUUUUAGCCACCAUCUCAAAAUCUUACCAACCUGGGGGCAGUUAGUACUUCUUAUACACGACCAAAUCAUUUCACCUAAUGCCCUUUUUGAUGGUUAAAAAUGCAGCCAUGGCAGAUGGAUUUUUAUGCAGCAAAUUGACCAUUAGAAGCCCCUUUUAUUAUGAUUAAUUAUGGCCUUAGCAUGUGAAUAAAUGUCUACCAUCCAUCAUCAUGACAAACGCGAAGAUCAUGGCAUGCUUUUCAUUUUCCAAGUUUUUCUUGACUUGUAAACACAACCAUCAUUGUACCGUGCCUAUCAUCACAAACAAAUGUGUAGUUGGCGCUUGGCACAGCAAGACAAGACAACGAUUGAUUCAGCUGCAAAGUGUUGCCAAAUAUUAGUAAGAGAUUGUAAUAAGACAUCUCAGAUGACCAUUAAGCGCUCUCACAUAAAUGAUACUACUAAUCCCUUUCGCCAUGCAUGUCUUAUUAUAGGGUUAUACAUAAUAGCAUUACUCCAUCUAAGUAAAUGUACCUAAUCCAGUAGAGAAGUGGAGGGUAGAAUUUUUCUCGGUCACAAAAUAAUUGUGGGAUUGGAUCAGAUCACCUGCAUACGAUUCUGAGGCUGAGAUGAUGGAUGCCCUCCAUGUUGUAAAUAGAUAGAUUAUAGAGUAAUCCUCCUAAUCCUAAUAGAUUCAGUUUAGUCAUUAGUGCUCACCUACCAAUGCAUGAUAUCUUUUUAGCCAAAAUACAACAAACAAUAAAAAAGGUUAAGAGGAGGGCUACACAAGCCUAUGGGGAACUUAGUGGAAGAAAAAAAAGGACAGAGAAAGGAGUCGGCUUUCCAUACCAAUAGCAUAAAAAGCUUAUCAUCACCAGGGGCCAACUCUGAUAGGGAUAUCACCAUGUCAUCAUCUUUACCUACCCUUAACCACUAUUGUUUUUUAAAUGCUAGAAUAUAUAUAUAUUGGACAUACAUACAAUGGAUUGGACAGGGGAAGAGUUCAUGAAUGAUCAAUAAGAAAAGUUAAACUUAAAGAGGGACAACAAAGAAAUGCAAGAAAAGAAAAGAAAAGGGAUUAGAGUUUGGUGUGAAUUUGUCUGAUGUUACUAGUGAUGUUGAUCCACUUGUAGGGACAUGAUCUAAAGAGAGUUUUUUUUUUUUUUUUUUCAAGUUAGUCUGGUUGGAUACUAAGAAUCAUACUACAUAGUAACUGAUAGGUCUGUCUGCUAUAUAAGAAUUUUAGCUUGUGCAUCCAAUACAUCCGGGAUUUUAUUGUAGGCCAUAAACAAGGGUGACCCAUAUGGUGCCCAGAUUAGUGUCUGAUCACUUCAAUUGUAAAUGGCGGAUGUGCCCUCACAACUUCUUUGCCUUUUUUUUUUUUUUGGAUUGACCUACUCAAGAAUAGCAUUUUGGUUUAUUAUUCGUCCAUUUUUAAGGUGAAUUACACCACACAAAAAAAAAAAAAAAAAGAAGCCCUGAUGUAUCUUAUUUUGCCCUUUGACUAGUGAAUUAAAUUUUGAGGUCAAUAUGAACAGUCCUUUCAGUCAUCCAUCUUGUGACAAAAAAUUGGUGAAUGGUCCUUUUCUAAGAUCUUCUUUGAACAUAUGGUUAUAGAGCCAUUUUCCUUCUAUUUAAUGCCAAAAUUAUGCAUGUCAACCGACCAAUUUCACACCUACUGCAAAACUGCAUGCAUCAUCAUCGAAAGUCUCUCACGGAUGGAGAGCAGAGGCAUUUGGCAUCAGAUUGGCCCGGAUGGCAUUGGCAUGUGAAGAUCGAAAGUAUGCCAACUACACCAUUCCAAAUGUCAACCGGCCAUUUUGGAAUGUCACAUUGUGAAUCUGCCUCUUUUCUUGUGGAUGAGUUCUGGCAAAAUGGACUGCAUUUGGUAGCUGGAUUUAUUUUGUCCGGCCUUGAGUUUGAGUGCAUAUGGCAAAAAUUAUUGGAAUUAGCCAAAAUGGAAAAAGAAAGAAGGGUAAAAUUGCCUUAAUGAAGCCAAGGCCUUGGCUUUACAAUAUGUACGCUUGAACACCAAAGAAGAAGGGACCCUAGCGACCGGCCUUGGCUUUAGUUUACACUGAAGCUUCACAGCCCUUACUGAAGCAGUCACCAAAGCCACACGGGGCUAUUGAAGUCUCACAGAAUUUCAUUUUCGGCUAUGACGUGACUGACGCCCGCGUUUGACAUAUAAAAAUCUGAUAUAGAUCCUUUGCUUUACAAAGAAGGUUCUCCCUCUGUCCCACUUUGAUAGUUUUAUUUUCCUUUUUCGUCUGUCCCAAAUUAUAGUCCACUUUCCCAUUAAGAAAUGUAAUAAUCUUUUAAAUUGUCUAAAAUACCCUUAUUAAAUAUCUUGUUAUUAAUAUAUUGUUAUUAAAUACUAACCCACUGCAUUGAAUAUAUUGAGCUUCUCCAAUACUAAUCCAUUAGCUGUAACUGAUAUUAAUUGGCACUCUUCGUGAUUAGCAUAAGGGUAUUUUAGGAAAUUAUUAAUCUAAAUUUAUGUUUUCAACCAAAUUAAUUACACUUUCGUAAUCUGUGUGAAAAAAAAAUCAAGACUAACAAAACGGGACGGAGGGAGUAAUAUUUUUUUAUUUGACUUUUAUACUUAUCUCCAACUCGCGAAUUCCUCCUAUUCAUCUAAUUUAAGGCAUCGGAGUCAUUUCAAGCUCGGCACCGAUCUCUUCCUAUUCACACAAACACAAAACAAAUAAAAUAGCACUAAUUAAUGUUGUUUACUCAAAGAUAAAUACAGACAUUAUAGCAAUGCAGCACUUUAGCAUUUCCUUUGCACCAGUCAAUUCUUUACAGCCCACACUUCCCCCUGCAACUCAUAUUCUAAUCCCAGAUUCCCCCUUCACUCUCAAUUUGUUAAUUAUUCUUCCAAGGCCCCUCAUUUUGGUUUGACUUUCACAUUCUAGACCAACCAUGAAUCACCAAUGUAACACAUUAACCUACAUUACACCAUACUAUACUAUUCUAUAGUCCCCCUACGCCAUAGGCCAUAGGCCAUUCCAACCAACCUUUUGCUACUCUUCGGACUUCUCUCCUCUCUAGUAGUGUCCAAUACAGAAAACAUUCGGUUCCAUAAUCCAUGUAAUCCCACCGCCUUCUUCCUGCACCUCUUUUUCACACACUGAAACACACACAAAGACGCAUAGUUGAGAGUGAUGAAUCAGUAGCACUAAUGGAGGAGGUGUCAGCAUCUUAUGAUCAGUGCAGCUAUUGGGAUGCUGUAUUGGAGCUAACAAAGUUGGCCCAAGAAAAUGGAAGUGACCCUCUAUUGUGGGCAAUUCAAGUUUCCGCGAACAUGAGUUCUUCAGGGGUGUCUUUCCCUUCUUUUGAGUUAGCCAACUUCCUGGUUUCUUACAUUUUCUGGGAAAACAAUGUUCCUAUAACUUGGAAAUUCCUAGAGAAAGCUUUGGUUCUCAAGAUUGUGCCUUCUCUUCCUGUUCUUGCACUGCUCUCCACAAGGUCUCUCUACUCUCCACCUUCUGUUUUAUGGAUUCUUGGUUUUAGUUGAAUAUGUCUUUAAAACUCCUAUCUCUUUCUCAAAUCUUUUCCGGGAUUUGCAUAUCAUGUUGGAAGAGUCAAUUUUUGGAUACUUAGAAAACAGGGAAGAUUAAUUGAGACCUUUAGUUUAAUAUGAAUAACUUAUCAAUUAAUGCAUAUGUCCUACGUUAUAAUUCUCAAGUUUGUUGUCCUACCACACUUUGCUGACUACCUAUACAUUCAUAAAAGAAAUCAUUACGCGUAAGUGUUUCACAACUCUAUCUUCAAUGUUCUGAAGUUUGAACCGCUAGCUCACUUUCUAUGUGUCCCACUGGCGUUUGUGGGUCUUGAAUGUGAAUCAGACUAUUGUGCUCCCAGCCACAUUACUAAAAUAUCAAGAAUUUGUAGAAAAAAGAUGGACUUUUUUCUGGAAUUGAUUAUUUGUCUAGCUGUUCUUAAUUAUGUUAUAUCGUUUGUUUUUCUAGUGAAGUUUCCCUUGCAAUGUGGUUAUCUUUUGAUUGAAUUUUGUCUUCUGAGAUAAUGCUGUAUAAUGGAGGUGUCCAUACUGUACACCAUUUUUUAUUUGUACCUCUUCCGAUGUUCUUACAUUUGCAUCUUCCAAAUACUUGGAAUAAUUAUGACUGAGAACAAUAAUGAACUUUGCUCUUCAUCUCUACUUCUUUACAGGGUAAUCCCAAAUCGACAUUCCUGUCCAGCAGCAUUUAGGCUUUAUAUGGAACUUCUAAAGACGCAUGCAUUCGAGUUUGAGAGUCAUUCAAAGUUACCUAAUUAUCAGAAGUGAGUAUUUCUUUUAACGCAUCCUUGCACGUAAAAUUCUUUUUAAUGUUGAUCUAUUUGCUAAAUUUCCUAGUAGUGUCAGGCUGUUUAGCUGUGCCAUUUCGGUUACUGAAAUUUGUUUUCAUGUCCCAGCCUUUUCCUAAGUGGCUUUCAUUAUUAUUGAUGUCUGAUGAAUUUUUUUCCAGAUUUUAUUGAACAUUGUCUUGCUAUACCUCGUUGGAUACUCUCCGUCCUGGUUUAUCUGGGACACUUAGUAUUUUUGUAUGUUAGGAAAGGUUUGAUACUUCCCUCAGAAGUGAAGUUUUUCAAACGGUUGAUAUUUGAAGGUGUAGUUGCCCACCAUAUCUUACCUUGUUGUUUUGCUUUCAACAUACAGCAGCAUAAUGUCUCCCAUGUUCCCUAUCUUUUAAUCACUACAAAUACAUUUUCCAUUCUCGCAUCAAAUACUCUGUUCAGUCAAGUAUUACCACUUAUGCUUUGGUGAAGCAAUGCUCAAUCAUUUACUUUGCCAUUGAAAUGGUCUUUCCUCCUUGCUAGACUGUGGCCUCCAAAUUUAAUGAUAUGUGUUGUUCCCAUAAAAAAAUAAAUGGCUUUUUUUAGCUGUCUCGGUAUAACUUAAUAGCUCAACAUUUAAUCGCUCAAGAUUUUAAUUAUAACUGAAUAGCUCAAGAUUUAGUCCCCCAAAAACCUUGUCUUCCCUUCAUUGAGUUGGAUGAAAGGGAGAGGGCAAGGGGAAUAACCUCUUGCCUUAAAUGGCUUUUUUUUGCUCUUUUGUCUGAAUAGAUGUGGAAUUUUGUAAUUCCCAUUAGCAACUUGUAUUGCGCUUGUUAUCCUUGUUCAUGGCCAUGUUAAUCUUUUCUCUGCCUUUCCUAUCACUAGAUUUAAAAGACUCUUCAUAGUUCCCACUGCGUCUGGUAUUCUUGUUUUUCAAUGUGCAUCUCAAAAUCUUAAUCCUAUAAUCUGUCUGCUGCAUGCAGGAUCAGGAAGUCAAUUAGUAAUAUUAUCCACUCCUCUCAGAUAUUUGAUGUACAAGCAGAUGAACCUGGAGUUCUUGUGAUUCAGAUUGUCUUUUCAAUUGUUUGGCAAUUGCUUGAUGCAUCCUUGGAUGAUGAAGGGUUGCUGAAACUUACCCCUGAAAAAAAUUCUAGAUGGCCCACUAAACUGCAGGACAUGGAGAUUGAUGGCUACAAAAAUUCUGAUGUAAUGAGGCUUGAAAACAAAGAGAGAUUGAAGAAUGCUAAUACUGUCAUGGCCAUAGAGUUGAUAGGCAAAUUUCUGCAAAACAAAGUAACUUCCAGGAUUAUUUAUUUGGCUCGCCAAAGCAUGUCAGAACUUCAUUCCUUGCACUUUUUCUUUUCAGCUUUAAUAUGCAGUUUUCUUUACAUGUUUUAAGAGUUAAGGGUUUCAUGAAAUGAAUAACACAAAUCAUAUCCUGAUGAGCUUUUUGUCCAUAAUUCACAAUUAUUCAAUUCCUCAGUUAAACUAGCAUCUUUUGAGGAUCAAAAAGUCAACUUAGAUUUCAAGAUGUACGUAUUUUGAGGAUAAAUUUAUGGGCAGUGUUUUAAUUCCCUGACUUCUAAAUUGUUGAUUGCUUUAAUGAUGUAUAUUAUGCUCUUAUUCUCCCCUACCAUAUUGCCCUGAAUGAAUGACAUUAAUAAACUACUUGCUUACUGCCUUUUCAGGAGAAGACCUUGGGGUGGUUUUGUCCAGCGAAUUCAACUGCUUGUAUCACAUUCCACAGCAUUAAGAAAUUCAAAACUUCUAACAUCAGAGACUCUUCUAAAGUUGAUACAUAAUAGUCCCAAGUUAAUGCUGCAGCGUCCCAGAAGAUGUGCUCCAGAGGAGCUACCUGGUGUUGGGCAUUUUAAAUCUCUAGCAUAUAGGUCUGGUUGUCGUGUUGGGCUUAGUUGUGCUUCGCUUUGGCUUCCUCUUGAUUUGAUAUUGGAAGAUGCAAUGGACAAUUCACAAGUUAAUGCAACUAGUUCUGUUGAAACUGUUACUGGUAAAUUCAUUUUGCAUUGUAUCUAAAAUGAAAAUCAGUGCAGAAAAUUUCCUUAAAGUAUGCCAUUCCUUAUUCUUUCAGGUCUAGUAAAAGCUCUUCAAGCAAUCAAUGGUAGCACUUGGCACGAGACUUUCCUAGGACUUUGGAAGGCAGCUUUACGUCUAGUUCAAAGGGUUAGAACUUCUGUUUCAUUAUUUCUUUUCAGGUUACAUCUGAAAGUUUUCUCCCUUCUGCCAUAAUUAUAACAAAAUUCCUCCAGAGAGAUUGAAUGCUCACGUUAAUUUUAGGGGGCAAAGAGUCCAAACAAUUUUUUUUUUCUUUUCAUCACGUUUAUAUAUAUAUUUGUGUGCAUAUAUGUGUUUAAGCCUUUUCAAUUACCUAACUGUUUUUUAUCUAAAGACUUGCAGGAUACUUUAUCAUGUCAAGAAGCAUCCAUGCUUGAGAUCAAUCUUCUUCUAGUUUUGAUUUGACCUUAUAUCCCAAUUUGCUUUUAGUGUACAGCAUAUCACUUCUUAUCAUAUCCAGAUAGAUUAUGGUUUCUUAUGUGCGGGGCAAUUCUAUGCUAAGUUUAUUUGUGUAGAGUUGACUUUUAUAAAACUAUCCACCUUUUCUGCACUUCCUUUGUAAAACAUCUGUUUUUCAUUAAUUGAAUCUAUUUGUAGGAAAGGGAUCCAAUUGAAGGGCCUGUUCCACGCCUAGAUACUCGACUAUGCAUGUUACUCUCUAUCACAACUCUUGUGGUUGCUGAUCUUAUUGAGGAAGAGGAAAGUGCUCCAACUGAUGAGAUUGAUGUUGACUUAGACAGUCAGUGCAAACAGACUACUGGAAAUCGUCGUGGGGAUUUGGCCUCUAGCUUACAGAAUCUGGGUGAUUUUGAGAUGCUUUUAACUCCUCCUCACUCUGUUAUUCCCGCAGCCAAUCAAGCAGCUGCAAAAGCAAUGAUGUUUGUUUCUGGAAUAAACGUUGGCAGUGCAUAUUUUGAAUCCAUCAGCAUGACAGAUAUUCCAACAAACUGUUGUAAGUGUUAUGACUUCUUAAAUGAAGUUUUAAACAUCUCACAAACUGGUCUUUAGAAGAGGAAGAUUGUGAAACUAUUUUGUGGUAAAUUCAGCAACUUUGCUUAACAGUUGUUGAAUUUAACUUCAACAAAUGCUUGUCGGGAAGAAUCAUGAGCAUGGUACCGGCAUGAAAUGGCCCAUGAUUAGUUUAAAUCUUCUACAAUAACGACCAGUGAGAAUAUGCCACCAGUUGCAUAACACUUACUGAUUAACCACAAGAAUGUUUUCUGUGACUAUGGUAUUGGAGGUCUAAAGAUUGAUCCUUCUUGCCUUUCUUGUGACAAUUUUCUGUUGUAUUAGUCCUGGUGUAAUUAUUCUGCUUUGAUGGUCAGAGUGGAUGCCUAUUUGGUGCUUCUUGCAAAUUUUAAUCCAGUUCAGAGAACACGAUGUGUUCAUAGAUUUAAAUGCUAAUUUGAGUAUCAUUUUACCACAUCUUGCUUGGUGCAGUUUCAAAUCGGAACUUUCCUUUGUUGCAUGAGUUUAAUUUUGUAUGGCUGAAAACAAGUUUCAGGACAGUCCAUCCUGUAGUGCUUUAAAGUAACUCACUGUUACUUCUUUUUGAUCUUUUAAGUUUUAGAAAUAUAAGGCAUCAGUUGUGCAAUAAAAUGAUAUUGUCUUUUCUUUUUUGGUGAGCUAUAAAACUUAAAUUUUCUAUCAUACUGUACUAAGUGCUGACCUAGCUCCAGUGAUGAUAGUAAGUGCAUCUUUUGCGGGAUAAUGUGUGAAAAAUGACAUUAUUGUAUUUUGAUAUGAUUAUUUUAUUAAGUCAAAUCUGAUAUGCCAAUGCCCUUGAUAUAGUUUGCAUGUAAGCGGAAAGGAAGGAACAAAUGGAGUUCUCAAAAAGUUGCUUGAUGUUGGAGGUUUAUUUGUAUGGAUUGGAAGAAUGAAAAUACAUAAUUUGAUUUGUCAAUGGAAGUGAUAAAGUUACUUAUGUUGUCUUAAUGCAGCUGGAAACCUGCGACAUGUAAUAGUCGAGGCCUGCAUUGCCAGAAAUUUACUGGAUACAUCUGCUUACUUCUGGCCAGGCUAUGCGAGUGGAAGCAUCAAUCAAUUACCCCACACUGUUCCCACUCAAAUUCCUAGUUGGUCCUCUUUCAUGAAGGGUGCCCCACUUACACCAUUGUUGAUAAAUGCUUUAGUUUCAGUGCCUGCUUCAAGGUAUGUCCCUAUCUUCUGAUGUGAGUUUUCUCUGCACCAAUUUUUUCAGACACAUUCAUCAGUUUUUGUAGUUAUAAAACAUGAGCCAAAAUAAUAAUUGACAAAAGUAAGAUUUUUAGGAGAGUUUUUUUUUUUUUUUGGGAAAUAGAUACUAGUACUAUGUUUAUCAUUGCUGGUAGCUCCAAAGGCACAAUAGAUGAUCUUGUAUAAACCUAUUAGAUUUCAUUGUGUCUUUCUACAUGAUUGCCUGGUCUUCAGUUAUAUAUUUUCUUUGCUGAAGCCAGGUAUAUCAGAUGGUCUUAUUUAUUGAUUUAGCAAGACUAAAGCAACUGAACUUAAGCUCAUGGGUUUAAUGCAAGCUUAGCAGAAUUGGAGAAGAUUUUUGAGACUGCGGUGAAAGGAUCUGAUGAUGAGAAGAUAGCUGCUGCAAGAAUUCUUUCUGGAGCUUCCUUAGUUCGUGGGUGGAAUAUACAGGUAAUUGGCAAUAAUGAAUUCUCCAAAAUUGCCUGUGGAUGCAGAGAGGUGGGAGAGCUGGGGGGGGGGGUGAAAAUGAGAGCUUGGCAUCAAUUUAACAUAGAACUGUAUGCCGAAUGGAGUUACUUUUCCUCAGAAUAAUCUAUGUAUUCUUUUAAUCACUUUCUUUCAUAUCAAUGUCUCCUGGGCAAAAAUUAACCUUAGUUUCUUAAUUUCAUCUUGGUCUUGAUCUUUCAGGAACACACAGCAUAUUUUAUAACCAGAUUGUUGUCUCCACCAGCUCCUGCUGACUACUCUGGGGAUGACAGCCAUUUGAUAGGUUUUGGGCCAAUGCUGAAUGUCUUACUUGUUGGCAUUGCACCUGUUGACUGCGUCCAGAUUUUUUCCCUGCAUGGCCUGGUAUAUGAUGAGUCUGAUCCCUGUCAACCACAUUUUACAUGUGGUAGUGCACUUAUUUCUAUUCCUGUCCUUGACAUGUGGAUUCUUACUGUCAAUCAGUACUAUGUAGCAUUAGUCAACUCAAACCUCAUUUUGUGCUUGUACUUCCAAAAAUUUAGCAUGCCAAUUCAGAAGAGUAUAAUUUGAAUGCCUUCAAUAAAACUUUGUUGACUUUCAUGGUGGAGUUAAAUUUUGCACACCAUGUAAAGGGAUAUGAGUGCAGUAAUGGACUGAAACAGUAGAGACUAGAAACUUGAGGAUAAGUUGGUGAAAGCAAUAUUCUGUAUCAGGAUAUAGAAAUAACAUAUGAAGAGCUUAGGACAUGCUUUCUUUCAUUUUGUAUAACUUUCACUGCAUCUGCCAGCUCAGUGGUGCUGGAAUGCUCGGAAUUUUCUCCACUGGUCCAAGUUUUGUUUGAGAUUUUUUUCUAACAUAGUUUCCUUUUCUCUGAGAUUUGAUGAUUAUCAUAAAUAACUAUGAAGAAUGGGUUUUCAUUUUUGUCAGGUUCCACAACUAGCUUGUUCACUGAUGACGAUAUGCGAGGUAUUUGGUUCAUGUAUUCCUAAUAUCUCAUGGACACUCACUACAGGAGAGGAAAUCUCUGCGCAUGCUGUAUUUUCAAACGCAUUUGCUCUUCUUCUAAAGCUAUGGAGGUUUAAUCAUCCUCCAAUUGAAUAUGGAGUGGGGGACUUACCACCAGUAGGGUCUCAACUAACUCCCGAGUACCUCCUACUUGUGCGUAAUUCCCUGCUAGUAUCUUCUGGAAACUUACUCAAGGAUCCAAAUAGAAGGAGAUUAGCCACUGUUGCAAGUGCUUCUUACCUGAAACCCAUCUUUGUAGACUCAUUUCCAAAACUAAAGGUUUGGUAUAGGCAACAUCUGGCAUGUAUAGCUUCACCCCUUUCUGGGCUUGUCCAUGGAACCCCUGUCCAUCAAACAGUUGAUGCCCUUCUAAACAUGAUGUUCAGAAAAAUUAGUAGAGGAAGCCAGUCAGCAACUUCCAUAACAUCUGGGAGUAGUAGUUCCUCUGGACCUGGCAGUGAAGAUACUCUUCCAAGGCCAAUAUUACCUGCUUGGGAUAUACUUGAAGCUGUCCCUUUUGUGGUUGAUGCUGCUCUAACCAGUUGUGCUCAUGGGAUACUGUCUCCUCGGGAAUUGUGCACAGGUUGGUUCAUGUCAUGUUUGAGCUUCUGUUGGUGAUGAAACUUGGAAAUUAAUUUCUUAAUACCACAUAUGCAUUAGUAUCUUCUUCGUUUAAAUAAUUUGUGCCUUGUUGUCCUGAAGUAUCUUACUGUCCUCUCUAUGAUUUGUCUCCAUAAUUGGAAACCAGUCCACUGUGGCUAGUGUGGCAUCUUCCUGAGGAAAUAGUCUCCUUUUUACUCCCACUAUUCCAUCCAUCCCACAAAACGGGCACAGAGGCACAUACAGGGAAUGUGGAUCUACAGAGAUCAUAUCUCUGCAUAUUUGAAGAAACAAAUUGCCAUUACGUUAUUUCCUUUUAUCUUAUCCUUUCUUUGUUGUUCCUUAUGUUCUGGAGCUUUUUCUUCCAGGCCUUAAAGACUUGGCUGAUUAUCUUCCAGCAUCCUUGGCAACUAUUGUAAGUUACUUCUCUGCUGAAGUAACUCGUGGCAUCUGGAAACCAGUUUUCAUGAAUGGAACUGAUUGGCCAAGCCCUGCUGCCAAUCUCUUUUAUGUUGAGGAACAAAUAAAGAAAAUUUUAGCUGCCACUGGUGUUGAUGUCCCAAGCCUUGCUGCAGGUUUCUCUCCCUAUCAAAAAGUUUCAAAUAAUUAAGUUAUUCUAUGAUGGCUUACUCCAUGUGUUACAAUAUUUGCUUAUUCUGUGUUAAAUCACGGGCUCCCAACCAAUGUUUGCUUUGGUCAGAAAUUUGGAAAAAAAAAAAUCUUAUAAAUAUCAGAGGUUGAUACACCUUAAAAUACUAUUUAUGUUUCUUCUGAACCUUAGAAUACUUUGGUAGGAUACUAAAGUUUCAACGGAUUUUUGCUUUCAAGGUCCGUAUGAUUUUUGGUUGCUUUAUUCCAUUCUUACAAUAUUUAUGUUACCUCAGUUGUUGACUAGAAGUUUAAAUUUCUCUAGGGGGGAACUCUCCAGGAACACUUCCACUGCCGUUGGCUGCAUUUGUGAGCCUCACUAUAACAUACAAACUUGAUAAAGCCUCGCAACGGUUUCUCAAUCUGGCAGGCCCAGCAUUAGAGUCCCUAGCAGCAGGUUGUCCAUGGCCAUGCAUGCCGAUUGUGGCUUCUCUGUGGACCCAAAAGGCAAAACGCUGGAGUGACUUUCUUGUAUUUUCUGCCUCUCGUACUGUCUUCCUACACAACAAUGAUGCAGUUGUUCAGCUGCUAAAAAGUUGCUUCUCCGUGACUCUUGGCCUGAACACAACCUCAGUAACUAGCAAUGGGGGUGUUGGGUCACUUCUUGGCCAUGGAUUUGGAUCACAUAUGUACGGUGGGAUUUCUCCAGUAGCCCCAGGGAUUCUAUAUCUACGUGUUUACAGAUCAAUCAGGGACAUCAUGUUCAUGAGAGAAGAGAUUGUUUCUCUGCUGAUGCAAUCCGUGAAAGACAUAGCAUGCAGUGGGCUACCUGUAGAACAACGAGAAAAGCUGAAGAGCGCCAAAAAUGGCAAGUAUGGGCAUGUUUCACUUGAUACAAUAAUGAUUAAGGUGAAACUAGCAGCUUCUUUGGGAGCUUCACUGGCAUGGUUAACUGGUGGACUGGGGCUUAUGCAGUCAUUGAUAAAAGAAACCUUGCCUUCUUGGUUUCUGUCAGCUCACCCAUCAGACCAGGAAGGGGCCUCCACUAUGGGAGUCCCUAUGCUCCAAGGGUAUGCGCUGGCAUACUUUACAGUGUUUUGUGGAGCACAUGCAUGGGGUUUAGAUGCAAUAUCAUCAUCAUCAAAGCGACGUCCAAAAGUUCUUCGGGAGCACCUGGAGUUUGUAGCUAGUGUCCUUGAUGGCCAAAUAUCACUCGGUUGUGACCCAGCCACCUGGCGGGCUUAUGUCAUGGAGCUUCUGAGCCUGAUGGUUGAUUGCUUUUCCUCUUGGAUGCUUGAGGUGGAUGUAAUGUUGUUGAAGAGACUGGGUGAAGGGCUGAGGAAAUGGAAUGAGGAAGAGCUUGCUCUAGCUUUGCUGUGCCUUGGGGGGGCUGGUACAAUUGGGGCAGCUGCUGAACUGAUCAUAGACACUGACUUGUAGUUCUACUUAUGUACAUGAAAUUUUUGUAGGUUGAUAAAUUUUAUAGACGUAACAGAUGUAACUCAGUGUACAGGUAGGUAAACUUGUGCAGAAUGAAGAUUAUGAGAAUCUAACUCACUACCGUAGUACAAAUCCUUAACCAAUUGAAAGUGAUUUAAUUUGAUGGGGUGAUGUUGAGCUGAUGAAACUGGAUAUGGAUCAUGAACUUAUAAGAGUCUACUUGACAAGAUAUUUGGUCGAGUGUGUCACCAUCCUUGGUUACAAAGGGGAAGGAGGAGGAAGUAAAAAUGCUGGGGGAUUUGCAUUGCAGCUGUUGGAGCUGGUUGAGUUCCUAAAUAUCAAUACUGAUCCUAUUCACCAAAAAAAAAAAAAAUUAAUAAUAAUAAUAGAAUAAAAUAAAAAAGAGGAGAAAUCAAGAUAAUAUACUAUUUUCAAUGCGUGCUAUGCAUUUCAUCAUGCUCCACUCUCCAUGUCCGCUUGUACCAAAGCCAAUUUGGAAGACAAAUACCCUUGAUAUAUACAUAGAAGUUCUCUCCUCCAGCCCUCCUCUUCUCCCUCCCUGGACAGAAUAAUGACAAUCUCUAAUCAAUUGUACCAUGGCUCGCUCCUAAUUUCUGUCAUGUAAAGUUGAAGGAAUUUUUCUUCUCUCUCCUUCACCCUUGAUCCCUUACUAUAUAGCUUACCCUAGUUUGCUUGGAGACUAACAGCAGUUUACACGUACACAAUCUUCACAAUUUUCACUAAUAUCCAAGCAACCAUAUUUAGAUGCUGCUUAUUAACUAUUGCUUAGUUCAAAAAUAAAAGGUAUUUUCACAUCAAUUUAAAGUACAAAAGGAGCUUGAACAAAGCAUUGUAUAAGAGUAUUUUAAGUGCUGAAUCCUGUGAACUGCAACUGCCGAGGAAUUUAUCCUAAUGCAUAUGAAUUGUAAAAACUUAUCCAAGAAGAAAAAUCCUAACACAGAGAUGACCCAAAUACGAACUAUGCUCAUAAGAUUGUUAUUAAAUCAAAUAACGCCACUAUAUGCAGGGGAUCUCAUCAAUCCUUGAGUUUGCAUUGCUUUCCUAACUAAAAAUGCAUCACCCCACCUCCCUGCAUCAGCAUAGAUGUUAGACAGGAGAACCCUGCUUGGACCAUGAGAAGGCUCCAAUCUUGCCAAAUUCUCGGCAGCCCUUUCUCCUACUUCCAUAUCACCGUGUGUUCUACAUGCUGCCAGUAGUGUUCCCCAUAUCACAACAUCUGCCUUCAUUGGCAUCCUUCUUAUUAAUUCUUCUGCUUCUUUAAGUCUUCCUGCCCUACCUAGAAGAUCCACCAUGCAACCAUAGUGCUUGACAGUAGGCUCUAGAUUGUAUACACUCUUCAUGCUCUUAAAAUGUUGAUCUCCAACUUCCACCAACCCUGCGUGGCAGCAUGCACUCAAGACUCCAAUAAAUGUAAUAGGAUUCAGUUUGAUUUUACGCCCCUGCAAGUCAGCAAAAAUUCUUAGAGCCAGUUCAGCAUGUCCAUGCAUGGCUGAGCCACAUAUCAUAGCAUUCCAUGGUGAAACAUCAGAUGCCUUAUCUUUCAUUUGUCGGAACACUUCUAAAGCACUGCUCAUGCUACCACAUUUGGCAUACAUAUCAAUAACUGCUGCACUAAGAUUGUCAUUAAGAGGGAUGGAGUUGUCGCAUAUGUAUUCAUGAGCCCAUCUUCCUUCAUUUAACCUACCCAAUGUAGCAAUUGCAGAUAGGACACUAACCAUUGUAAUUUCAUUUGGUUUAACUCCUCCAGCUACCAUCGCAUGGAAAAGCUCCAAAGCUAUCCCAGGCUGUUCAUUUUGCGAAUAACCAGAAAUCAUUGAGCUCCAUGAGAAAACAUCUCUCUCUGGCAUCUCAUCAAACAAAACCCUAGCUUCAUCAAUCCUUCCGUUUCUAAUCAGUCCUGAGAUGAGGGCAUUCCAGUUUGCAAUAUGGUGUUUGCUUCCUAGUUUGAACUGCAACCAAGCAAGACCAACCUCCUCACAAGCAGCAUAAAAAUGAAUAAUUGUUGCCUGUAUAAAAUCGUAACAAUCAAAGCCCUUCUUCAUGGUUACAGCAUGAAACUGCAGACCAUCCUUAACAGCAGCAGAUUGUCCACAAGCUGAAAUUAUAUCAACAAUCAUCACUUCGUUAGGCCCCAACCCAGUACAAACCAUUUCACGGUAAAGUGUUAAAGCCUCAGUCAACCUCCCAACUUGCACAUAACCAUCAAUUAUUGUACCCCAAGAAACCACAUCUUUAUCAUCUAUCCUCUCAAAAAACUCUCUAGCCAAAUCAACCAAACCUGCCUUAGCAUACCCAUUCAACAUCACGUUCCAUGAAACUACAUUCUUUUCAGGCAUCUCAUCAAAGAGCCUGCUCGCAUCCCUUAAAUGAGAACGCAAGCAGUACAUAUGAACCAAAUUAGUCGAAACAAUAACAAAUCCAACAAGCCCAAGUUUCAUCACCAACCCAUGCAGUGGUCUCCCUUUCUCAAAUCCCCCACCAGCCACAUGCAAAAAAGCCGUAAUCACACUUGCCAUGGUAACUUCAUUCGGAAGCACCCCAGACAUCAUCAUUUCCUGGAAAACCUUAAUUGCCUCACUCGAAGACCCGUUCUGAGCCAGACCCAUUAUCAUAGUUGUAAAAGAAACGCAGUUUUUCCCAGGCAUUUUGUCAAACAACUCACGGGCAUCAUUCAUAUACCUUAAUUUCACAUAGCCAGAGAGCAUAAUAUUGCAAGAAACAGCAUCAAGCUUCUCACAGUCAUCAAAAAUCCUUUUUGCACUAGAAAUCAGCCCACAUUUCGAAUAGAAGCUGAUUAAACUAUUUCGGAUAAAAAUAUUGCAAUCAAGGCCUAAUUUUGCUAUAUGCCCAUGAAUUCCUUGGCCUUUAGGAAUCAAUAACAUAGAAGAGUAAUCUUUCAAAGCGGAGAUGAUUAGGAGCUCGUAAUUGGGUUUUGAACUUCUGAGUCCUUUUAGGUUUUCUUCGGUGGGAUGGGGAGGUUGGUUCAAAGGGGUUACAGAGGACAGGCAUCUGGGAGAUUGAUAGGUGAGUAAAGAGAAAAGGGUUGAGAAAUGAAGGGGUGAUUUGGGUCUGAGAGCAAAGUUCAUGAGACGAGAUCAUGAGGAGUUGUUUCCAAGCAUUCCAAGUUCUGUUCUGGAGAGUUUCCGUCUGCUAACGAACUUUUGGAGGGGAAGAGAACGGCAGUUAUGGUGGAAAACCCGGCCGAUUGGCACACACUGGGCCUUUUCAAUUUGACGAGCUAAUAAUGAAGGUUGGUCCUUUCUAAACCCUGCUAAAGAAACAACGCCUUUAUGAACAGGCUCCAAAAGGCGUAGAAUGUUGAUGCAAACCAACCAUCACACGCCUUCACCUGCCGUUCCACUUUUUGGCCUGGUACAAAUGAUCAGCGUUAAACUCCAUUUUUUCCCCACUUUUAAAUUGUUACAAAGAAAAAUCGGGUCUCUUCUGACGCGGUUGCCUUCUGUUCUGUUUUACAACAAUUUUGUCUGACCAGGACUGGAGGGACAAAAAUUUUAAAAAACCAGUUUUUUCACUGAGGAAGAAAAGAUGCCAACUAUACUAAAAAGAAGGCCUCUUUCACAUUAUAGUCACUUCUUUGAACAUAUAUGGGGCAGCUUUGUAGAUUUUAUGACUCUUUUUAACUUUGUCGUUUGACUUCAGUCGCAAAAAAUAGGACUUGCACAAACCAUUGGGAUCGAGGCAUUUUUCCCUCUAAUGGAAUUCUUGGAGUUUAAGACGACAAAUGUAUCGACCAAUGCCUACAAAAUUCUUCUGAUCUUGUUAUUGUAAAUCUCAUUGCUAGCUGCAAAGCCCUUGUCUCCAUUGUAAUAAAAUAACCACCACGAUCCUUCAUAACAUUGCUCAUGGUAUACACAGUCCCACAAACACAUGCCAAGAUUAAUAAUAUACUUUUAAAGACAGAAUGACAUGGUUCCUGGUGCUAGACUAAAACCAUAGCUUAAUUAGUAGCUAAAAGCUGUCCACUUUGAUUUUUAUCAUUUAUUCGCGUUUCAUUUGGUAUAUCCUUCCAGACAAGAAUUUGUAGAGUUUGAGGAGGUAUGUCUUCUGGUAUUAGGACUAAAGAAUGGUUCUAAACAAGAACAACAGAGAUGUUAAAAAAACAAAAAAGGAAAAAGAAAUGGUGCAAGAAAAAGCAUGUGGUUGAGAGCCAAAGUGCACAGCCAUCAUGAGCGGUCAGCGAUGAUCGCCAGCACCAUAAAGAGCAAGACUCCUGCAAAUAGGAACAUAAAGAGUGAAACAUUACAACUCCAUGCUGUAUUAGCACUUCGAACAAUACAGCCAGUAGAUAGUCACUACUACGUUAACACUUUGAGCAUUACAGCCAGCAAAUAGUCACUAUACUACCGAUAUGAACAAUACAUGAGUAGCCCUCAUCUUGCUAUGUUUCAAGGAACAAGACACAUCAAUGGCAUAUCAAAUGUCAUAAAGAGUCUAAUACAGGUCUGGAAGGUUUAACAUUGUGGACAAUACUAAUAAAUAGUAACAACUAAAGGGGAUAAAUAAGAGAAGAAAUUCUCAAAAAUCCUCAAGAUUUCUUUAAAGAUGGGGUUGCUAUGAACAUCCCAGGCAAGCUGACAAUGCCAUAAUUCUAUAAAAUCAAACCAUUAUAACCUUUGCCAUUUAGUGAUUGAAAGAGUACGCUAAGUACUUCAGCAAUCAUAUGCUUCCAUAAGGGUAAACCUACUCCAAAGUUAAUUACUCUAGUUUAUAUGCUACAAGAAUAGCUUAACAUACAAACCUAAGUUAACUAAACUAUUAGAACCAUAAGUUGACCUCUAAGAAGUACAUUUAUCACAGAAAUGCAGGAAUUUGGAAAACUACAGAAGUAACAUCUGGCUAUAGUUACAAGUUCAAACUCAAAACUGAUAGCUUUGUUCAAGUCUAUAGCAAGCCCAUUAACCCGACUGAUCCAAAAUCAUUUCCUUUGGCUCCAAUCCUUUUUUCAUUCUUCAGAUGCUUAGGGACUACAAGCAUUUAAUAUUUCUGCCUCAAUUGCAUCUUUCAUUUCCAGCACACAUCUCAAGUUGCUUCAAAUAACCUAGUUGCAUCAUAUGUAAAAGAUGCUCCACUAGAAAGAUUUAUAAACUCAUGUGGCAAACAUUCUCAACAAUAACCGCAUACCUCUGCAGGAAUUAAGACCCAAAAGUAUGCUAUUUGUGUGUGCCGUAUGAUUUUUAGGACAAACUUUUACCAGUUUUUGUUAGUCCAGCUAAAUGCAGUUACAUCCUACCACUCAUAGUAACAUGUCAUUUGGCCCUAAGAUUAGCAUGGAGGAUAAUGCUAGAAAACGAAACAUGGCUUGCAGUCAAAAUGUGGAAGAGGAGGUGCCAACAAACUGGUGUAGAAAAUUGAUACCUGAGAAGGACCAAAAAAAAAAAAAUCUAGACAAUGAUAUGGCAACCUUUUAUCUAGACAUUAAGUAAAGACUCAUAGAGACCCGCCCACUUUUUGUUGUCCAUCAUCCAAUUUGAUCUUUAUCUGAUAAUCGCAAUAAUGCUGGUUAAGGACAAUUACCCGCUCCUAGGAAAUGACAUCCAUUAUCAAGUACUGGAGAAAUUUCAGUUUCAAUAUAUGACUUAAGUCUGACUAUAGUAUAUUUAUCUUAAUAUAGUUUUCUUUCAAAAGAUAAAUUCGAAGCUCCCAUUUCCAAAUAGUAAGUUCAGUGGUGAAAAAAAAAAUGACCCAUAUUCUUUAUAGGAAAAUGGGAAUUCUUCUGGUAUGACCUGGGAUGUCUAAUGUAAAUGCAUGGAAAGACAUUUUUACAUGAUUAGUUGGAUAACUUUCUUGAAACUAACAUUUUUCAUUGGAUACCAUAGUCAAAUAGUUUGUGGUAUUGAUUUUGAUCCAACCGAGUUCUACUUAUAGCCACUAGUGUUCAAAGUACAAUUCAACAAUAACUUGAUCGUCUUCUCAAGCUAUUUUAUAUAAAGAUUGCCGGUUAAAAGAAGUGCCAUUAGUUUUAUCAAGAGAAAGACUUUUGGAAGCUCCAAAAUGAGCAGCUUGCUGUCUUAUACACCAAAAAAUACAUAAAACUCACCAGGAGCUAGGGCUGCAAGAAAAUCCAGGUCCAUUGUGAGCUUCCAGAUCUCACAAAAACAAGAAGCUUGCAUAUAUCUUCCAGACCAUAAACCUUAUAGAGCUACAGAACUAAAAUGCAAGGCCUUAACAAAGAUGUUAACAGCACUAAUUUGAGAAACAAUACGAUGUGUAUCAUCUAGUGCAGACGAUUACAAGACCUUCCUUGAUAAUCUUCUCAAAAGUCAAGGAUCUAGGAUCUAUUGAGAUUUGCCAACCAUGAAAAAAAGGCACUUUGGGUCCAUUAACUAGAUCAAAAGUUGGUGCUUGGACAGUCUAAAACUAAAUGGAAUCCAAACCAAAUUCCCAUGGUUUUCUAAACCCCAUUUUAGUUCAUUUCAAGUACCUUUUCAGCCGGACACUCUCCCAAUUCCCAAUUCUCCUCUCCUGCACAAUUCACAGAUACCAUCAUGGCAAAUCCAGAGGGGGUAAUGUCAUCGGAUCUCGAGCAUUAUAAUCGCUGGAUUAACAAUCAGUUGAUGGUAAGGUAGUAGUUCAGUAGGAAGAUCCAACAGGUAAUGGAAUAGGCAUUGCAGAGGGGAAGAGAAGAGAAAGAAGCUUUGGUUGAACAUUACACGAGGAAGUGAAAAACCAGUUCUGGGUAAUUAUGCUUAGGCUAUGCAGGAAUAGAAAACCUUGUACAAGGGAGGCCACCACCUUAGUGUGCUCUGUGAGAAAGCAGCUUAACUUAAACUUCCUUCAGUCUUAGUUUUACUAUGUGACUCUGUCUGUAACCAAAACCACUGCCAGGCAAGACCUUAAUACAUAGCCAUCAAGAAAAAUAUAACAAACGUCAGAAGACUAUUCCAUCGAGAAUAAUGUAGAAGCGUCAACUUUACAAAAUAUCCAACCUUUCUAGACAAUCCAAAUGGUUUUAUACGGUAAAACAAAUGGCUUUAACCCCACAAACUUGCAAAAAAAACCCAUUACAAACUCAAAGACAAAUAAAUUCAAAAAAUUCAUUGAGACACAAACCAUCAUUCGUCCUAUAAUCAGCUCAACAAAAAAAUCCUUUCGGUAAUCAGUUUGGCAUAAGCAUCAAAGCGCACCAUUCUACUUCAGUGGCCCAAAUUUAUCGUCUAAACCGCAUGCAAUAAACAAUCAAUCAGACAAGAAAUAGCCAGCAAUUCAUAGUCUAAUAAAAUCUCAAAUGCAACAAAAGAGUAUCUGAUCAACACCAAAAAGACUCACUUUUUACGGCGGCUACUACGUUUAGGGCCCCAACCUUCAAGUUUAGCAACAGGGCAACCACACUUAGCUCUGAAAAGCAGGACAGCUCUUCCAUUAGGAGGAGCCAUUUUCCUCAACUCAGCUCUCAAGCAUUCAUAAUCCGGGUUAAACUCGUUUCCACCUUUCCAGGGCAACUCAUCAAUCUCCUGAACAGCCUUAUUACCCUUCCCUAAUUUCAAGCAAUCUUCACCCUGCAACUGCAAAUCGAAUUCCAUUGCUUUUUUCAACCCUUUACACCCAAGUUUCCCGCACUUUCUUGAUCUGGGCCCACAGCAGAUCUCGAAAAAAAUCAACAUGAAAACCAAGGACAAAAUCAGGGAGGUGAAGAAAAUGUGGUGGACUUGGAGGUGGGAGUAAAGAUAAGAGAGGAGAGUGGAAAGAGAGAGAGAUGAUGAUGGAGGGAGUAGGAGGGAGAGGGAGUGGAAGAUGUAGGAGAAGCAGGAGGAGAUGAGGAAUGCUCCGGCGAAGAGGACAAGGAUGAGGAUGAGGAGGUCAAGGGUGGCCGAAGGGGAGGAGUGUUUGCAGAGGGAGUGGGAGUUAGAGGCUGAUGAGGGGCAAUUUUGGGAAUUUAAGGAGGUGGGAUUUGUGGGUUUUUUGAGAGGUUUGGAGGGGGAGGAGUGGGUGGUGGAGGAGGAGGCGGAGGUGGUGACAGGGGCCAUGGUGAUGGUUGAGAAGAGGAGGUGAUGGCGCAUGUUAGUAAGGAGGGCUCGGGGAGGAGGCUGGGAAUGGCGUGGGUGGUUUUCAGGUGUGUUAGCUUUUAUUUAUUUCUUUAUUUAUUGGUUUAUGUGGAAAAUACUAAAAUGUUGAGUUGAAGCUUGAAGGUGGACUGUGCGCAGCUUAGCGGUGAGGGGCGCCAGAUGUGCGCAGCUUAGCAGAGAAGUGAAAAAGGGUCGUCGACGGCGGAUGCGCGCAUGUUAGCAUGGUGGGAUGGUGGCUUUAGAGGGUGCGUAGGUUAUCUUUCCACCAAUUGUUUAAUCAUGAAGGCAGUUAUGGUCAAGAGACUUGGCAGUUCAUAGUCUAGGCCACCGCUUAUUUAUACAUAAUAUACAUAUCUAAAUCUUGUAUCAGCUUUUUGUUUCAAUUCGUUGUCUCAUUUCUGGAGGGUCUGUUCGUUUAUGUUUUAUGUGUGUUUCUAUAGCCGAUUGGAUUCAGAAAAUGCUUUUUUAAGUUCAGAUUUUAUUAACGCUUGUGCAAUAAAGACGCCAGAAACUGUUACUGCUCAAGUUAGCAAGUAGUGUUGCUAUAUCUAAGUAACUCUUCAAAUGACUCAUAAUUGCAGUAUUCUUGAGCUGUUCAAGUUUCACUAGCCAAGGGCAGGUGCAACCGUUCUUGAAGGUUAUGUGUAUUUUGCACACAGCAUGGCUCUGUUUGUAUAUUGUGUAACUUACUUUCAAUAACGUAUAAUUUUAGAACAAAAUUUUAUGAAUUCCACACCUAUUAUUGAAAACGAGGUACAAAAUGAGAUUUGGACUAUAACCAAAUUUUGGCUGUGAAUUGCUCGGGAUGGAUCCGCUGAUGACCGUCCCUGCCCCAAAUCCAAGUUUCACAUAGUUAGUUCAGAUGAUGACUUGUGCAGAAACAUAUUCCGGAUCUUCUCAGAUAAGAUAGUGAAGUUUGGACUUCUUGCUUAUUUCCGCAGUUCUUUAUUGUUGUAUAAGAUAAAGUACUUUUACAGCUUCCAAUGCAUAAAAAGCAGACGUUAUGGAAGAAGCGCAGAAACCCUUCAAGAUUAUAGCGUUGCUUUCCGGGAACAGCGUGCAGCAAAAAUCCUGUAAUUCAACACGGCUUCCACAUGUUGAAUGCAGAAUUUGUCCCAGAAUUGACUAAAGCAUUUGCAAGUUGCAAUUUACAUUUAAGGAUUGGAAAAAAUUGCAGUGCCUUUGACUUUAGAGGAAGACGAGUAAAUAAGCUUGGUACCACAAAAAGGCAUAAUUGCAGCAGGAGCUUUCCACUGAUUCUAACUUCUCCUGUGGGUGCUUCCUGGCUGCUGCAAGUAGCUGAGAUUUGGCCCCAUUAAAUGCCACACACGUAUCGUCUGAUCCGAUGAUAAUUCAGCCAGCAUUGAUCCCAAGGGUCGAGUUGAACCUGUCCAGUUCCCCCGUAACUGAUGUAUGAACAAAAAAAAAAAAUCUUGAUCUCAACUAUUUUGAGCAGGAAUUGAUUGCAAUGUUUUCCACCCUACGGCCUAUAUUAGCUGCAUUUAGCUCCUAGCUAAAAGAAAACAGCAUCUAACACCAGGAAAAGGCUUCGAGGGGAACUGGAGGGAUCAUACAGCACCCAGAUUUUCCGUUCUUAUUGUAAGAGAGAAGCACCAAGUUUAAGAAAAGCACUACUUAUUAAAUACUGCAGUGAACCUGAUUGCACGCAUAAGAUGCGUCGACAGUAGUUACAUAUUAUCAUUUACAGAGAUUUAAAAACAUUACCAUAGCAUACAAAUAUUAACAGCAGCAGAAAAGUUCCUGGUAUCCAGCAUGAAUAACUCAUUAGAAUUCACGAUCAGGGAAGAUCAAAGGGGCCACGAGGGACCACACAUACAGGCCAGCAGUGACCCAUUCAGUGCA
rnacentral:lncRNA from 1 species